AGAGUAUAUAUAGUAGCCCGGCCUAUUCUCUCUCUCUCUCUCUCUAUAUAUAUAGAGAGAGAGAGAGAGAGAGAGAGAGAGAAAGAGAGAGAAAGAGUAUGUUUUUGGUGCUUUUAAAAGUACCAAACACAUGACGCUUGUAAGCUUUUCGCCGUUUGAUCUAUCUCGUUUACUAUUUUCAUUCCGUUAAAUCAUACUAUUCAACGAACCACUCAUUUAAUUUUAGAAUAUCAUCAUCAUCCUAAUCGUAUAUCCCUUAAUUUAAGGGCCGAAAACAUAUCAGCACUAAUGACUUAUGCUUUUAAAAAUAUAGAAGCUCAAUUACACACACACACACACACACACACAUAUAUAUAUAUAUAUAUAGAGAGAGAGAGAGAGAGAGAGAGAGAGAGAGAGUCUGACUACUAUACUCUUAUGAGUACGAUCGCCUUCGUACUCAUAAGUUGUUUUCGGUGAUAGAGCUUUCGAAUCGACGAUCCAUACUGUUAAACAUUAUUUAGAACAUUUAAAACUUCUAGAAAUCAAAUUUUAUAAUUUUCGAUAUCAUUUACCUUACGAUCAAAAGCUCACAAAAUUGACAAUUUUUAACGGCCGGUAUGAAAUAUUUGCUAGUUUAACGGUGAAAAAGAAUCGGAAUAGGUUGAAUUUUUGAUAGAAAAUUCUAUUUACUAUUUAAAUAAAGAUCAAUAACUCCGAUCUUAAAUUGAAGGAUUCGAUCAUCCAUUUUUAGGAUGUCGUUCGAUUUUAACCCGUUCAUUUUAUACCCGCUUGAUGGACUUUAUAAUGAUUUUGAAAAAUUACGAAAUUUAUUUUUUAGAAGUUUCGACUAUUCUAGAUCAUGUUUAACAGUGUGGAUCGUCGAUUCGAAAACCCCAGCAUCGAAAACAACUUAUGAGUACGAAAAGCUCUAUACUUAUAAGAGUAUAGUAGCCAUACUCUCUCUCUAUAUAUAUACAUAUAGAGAGAGAGAGAGAGAGAGGAGAGAGAGAGAGAGAGCUAGGUUCCUAUGCUUUCGAAAGUACGGAGGCCUCCGUGCUUGUAAGUUAUUUUCGAUGAUGGGACAUCCAAUUCGGCAGUCGGUUCCGUUAAACUUGAUCUACGCUAUUGGAACUAUCUAGAAACCAAAUUUCAUAAUUUUUUGCCUUCAUUUGUCUAGUAAACGGUUAGCCUCAAAAUGAAUCGCCGAAAAUGAAAAUCUCAUACAAAACAAUAAUAAAGGACUCAAAUUUUAAAUCGGAAGUAUUGAUCUUGCUUUGAUGUUAAGUAGAAUUUUCUAUUAAAUUUUUAUGUAAUUUAGAUACUUCUACACCGUUGAACUUAAAAACAUGCCAUAUCGGCCGUUAAAAUAGUCAUUCUUGAGACCUUUUGAUCGCUUGGUAAAUGAUGUUAAAAAAUUAUAAAAUUUGGUUUCUAAAUAGUUACAAUAGGGUAGAUUAUAUUUAACGGAGCCGAUCGUCGAAUCGGAUGUCCUAUCAUCGAAAACAACUUACAAGCACGAAGGUCUCCGUAUUUUUAAAAGUACAAGAGGCGUACUAUAUAUAUAUAUAUAAUUGUACUUCAAGUAAAGCACAGAGAUGUGCAAAUUUUAAAAAAAAAGUAAACUCUUAUCUCAAAGUGAGUAUAAUUUAUAGAUCUCUAGUAUCUUCUUUGGUGGUAAUCAUGGGAGAAUCUUUACUCCUAAAAGCUUCAUCCCACUUGGACAAAGGCACUUAAUUACAAAGCUAACACUAAUAAGUGGUGAGAAAAAUGGAGUAUGUGUAUGACCUAGAGGGGACUUGAGAGAUUGAGGGCUCACAACACAUCAUUAAACUCUCUCUCUCUCUCUCUCUCUCUCUCUCUCUCUCCUUUACAGCCCCUGUAUAUAUAUGUAUACCUAACCACAUAAAGCCACAUAUACAUGACACAUCUAAAAGAGAUUAAACACUUCCACCACUAUAAUAGUAUAUAAUAAAGUUCCCCCUCCACUCAAACCUAGAAGAACCAUCCUCUCCCUUUACUUUGGUUGAAUCAAGUCUCAAUUAUUGCACCAACUAUGCACCAUAUGGGAAAGGUAACUAGAAUGUCCAGUCCCAAUCACAACCAUUGAUGCUAAAUUGAAUGGCUAGAUGGUGUUGGGCACCACCUUUAGGCUCUCCUUUCAUUUGUCUCUUCAAGAUCCAAGAAGUCACUAGGGACCCAAUGGUGUUUGAACCUCGAUGAGAUUUGGGCACCAGAGAGUGUUGGGUUGGACCCAUUCAAUUUUUUACCUUAGCUUUUCUUAGUCCUUAAGUUUUGAGUUUUUAGACUUGCCCUUAAUAUCAAAGUAUAAAAAUAAAAUAUACGUCACAAUAUUACCACAAAUACAGAGUGUCAUUUGAAAUUUCAAUAGUUAAAAAUUUAGAACAAAAAAAAAAAGAAAAAAACUUUGUAAGUACAAAUUUAGUCAAUUUCCUAGUCCUUGGUUUCUAUUAGUUUCCUCUUGACAAUCUUGAAUCGCAUGAAAGACAGAUGACUUAAAAUAUUCCUCAGAAAUAUGCAAAUUAACAUUCAAAAGAAGAAGAGCAUUAAUUUGAUUUAUUUUACUUUCCAAUAUUGAAGAUUGUUAAGUAAAACCAGCGGAUUUAGAGCAACAUAUAUGUAUCGGUGAUUAAAAUAUUUUACAAAGUUUAUGUAAUUUAUUUUUACUUUCAUGUUCAGGUGGCGCUCUGCGAUAGAGCGAAUGUUUUGAAUACUCUAAUGCCUUGAAAAUUCAAAGAUUCUUAGAGCUUGGAAAUUGAAUUGAAAUUUUCUACUUUGAGUGGCACUAAUUCCUAAUAAUAUAUUCUAUCUUCUUUAUACCAUAACUUUGGUCUCAAACAGGCCUGAAUCUCAAAUAUGUUCCAUGAAUAAGAAGCAAGGAUAUAUGCAUGUCACCAACCCAAGAAUAUGCUUGCACUUUUUAUUGAAAAAAAAAAAAGAGGAAAACUUGAUGUUGCAACUAAAAGUGAUAAUUGGGCCUAGAUGCAAGAAUAAACCAUUUUUGUCCUCGCACAUUUGUAUAUUACUGUACACACACCACCACUCUCUCACUUAUUUCCCUCAUAAUAUGAUCUUAAUUUUAUUUAUACAAUAAUUAGAAAUUAAGAGGCACUUGUCUCUUAAUGCGAACCCUCCGUUAGCGGUCAAUAAGAUCAAGCAAUUGACGACCCUGGGAGANAAAAAAAAAAAAAAAAAAAAAAAACACUUGUCUCUUCUAAUAUCUAUGUGUCUUAUGACCCAUAAUAAUUCCUUCUAGAUGCCUUAUAGCACUAAAUAUUAAAAAGCAAAAGAUCUAGCAGAAAAUGAAGGAUGCUAUCCAAUCACCUUUAUACAAUUAAAAACAGUGGGAAUUUAAAAAAAAAAAAUUGUUUUAGUUUAAUUCUUCUUAUAUAUUUUGAUCAUAGAUUUAUUCUCCAUCGCAUGCCCCACCUACUGCAAGAAUAUUAUUUUGACAUCUAUGUGCAAAAUCAUACCAAAAGCAUGAAAUUCCAGUCCCUGCCAAAAUUAAACCUUUUUUUUUUUUGGUUUUUUACAGCAAUUAAAGGAAUUAAGGAGAAGGCAUAUUCUCAAAGUUAAUGUGGCCUUUAAUUUGGAACGAAUCAAUUUACAUACUUUUGACUGAGACAAGAACCGAAUCGAGAUCAAAUGUUUGUAAUUAAUUAGUUAGUUUAUAAGAUAGAAAAUUGGAAUCUUUGGUCACAUGCCUUAUGUCUAAGUCAUCUGGGGAAAAAAUCCUUGUAAUAUUUUUUAUAUUUUGGUUAAUUAUCUGAAUUGUAUGAAAUGACUUUAAUAUAUUUCAGUAGUUGGGUAAAUUCCCAUUUGUCCCUAGUAAAUUCAUUUCUUUAAUCCAGAUUAUAUUGAAGCCAUUAAUGUGAUUAUAUUUGUGUUUUAUGUUCUUCUUCGGAAGCUAAUAAGUAGAUGCGAUCGAUCAGUCGAAAGAAAAAUAUUUUUUGUCCCCUACAAUAUUGUUGAUAUGCUAGUAAAUCUAUACGAUGGGUGCUUUUGAAUCGCCUAGAUAUAUAUUAACCAAUAAAAACUCUCCACAUCAUGGCCGCCAAUAAAUGUAACAUGACAUAUAAGCAGUACUCAUUUCAAAAUGCCUUAAUAUAUUUCACAAAAUACUGACUGUCCCUAGAGCAAAUGGCAAAAGGCUUGGUGGUUGGUACCCGAGACCCAAGUUCGAAUCCUAGUUGAUUCACAUUUCCAGCUAAGUUUAUUUCUAAAUGAAAAGCAGAUAGCGUGCUAUCUAUCUCUCAAAAUAUAUAUAUAUAUAUAUAUAUAUAUAUAUAUAUAUAUAUAUAUAUAUAUAUAUAUAUAUAUUUCACAAAAUCAAGUAUCUGAGUUGCUCUCUACUGUGUUCUAUGAUCCACGUGACCCAUCAAAUCCACCCAUUAAGCUACUUCAUCCCCCCUGACACAAGGACCCAUUCAGAAACAAACUUUGGUGUAACACCUACAUAUGCACACUUAACUUAAUUAGACCCAUUCAAAACCAAUCAAACAAAGCAAGGCUUUGGACAAAAUAAAGCAAAUUAAAGAAGCCCCACCAAUCAUAUCUCACCACAUCUUUGUUAAAAGAACUAACCACAACCCCCAAUUAGAAAAAACACAUCCCAUGCAAAAUAAAGAGAAAGAAGAAGAAAAAAAAAAGAAAAAGAAGUAGAGCAUCUACCAAAUAUUAAAGAGAUCUCCUUUCCCUCCACCCCUAUAAAACCCUCCUACUGCAUUGCUCUAUGCUGUGUCUUUGUGAGAAGGACCCAAUUCUUUUUUCUACACAUGAUCAAGCUAUAGCUAUAUAUAUAAUGUCUCACCUCUCCCUGCGCAUGCACUCACCAAGUAUAUCAAAAAGUUUGCUCUUUAAUUAGUACUUGAGAGCUUGUACUAAUUUUUAUAUAUGGACCCGAUUAGGAUAGAGAAGUUCCAAGCCAUGAAGAGGUACAAGAGGAGGAAACAAUUCAAUAUUAUUCCAACUCUCCUCAAGUACUUGGUGGGAGUUUUACUUCUUGGGCUGUUCCUCUCUAGCCCCCUCUGGCUCCCCAAGUUGAGCUCAUCUCUCAACCUCUUCGUCGUCGUCGUCCUCCCGAACGUAGCCGCAAGUCUCUUCGGGCCGAAGUGCUUAUUCGUCGUGUGCAACCUCAUCGUCGUGUUCCUCGUGAGCGAGUCGAGGCUGUCGGGAACUUAUUCGAUGCCCGACAUGUACGAAGAGUUCGUGAGGAGGACCGCGGUUGGAUCGAGGACUUCUUCGAAUUCGACGACAGUUGCGGACAAGAGGGGGAGUGCUUUCAUGCAAAUUGGUUUGGUUGGAGGUGUGGAGGAGGGAGAAGGGAAAGGUGGUGGAGAAGUUGAAGGGGUGGAGGGAGGGUGUUGCUGGGAAAUGGAGGAAGAGGAUGAUGAGGACUUGGUUCAUGAGUGGAAUAGGAGAUUUGAGGACUUCAUUGCAAGAGUUAGGAAGCAAAGGAGGCUUGAAGCUAAGAGAAUGCCACUUUGUUACUGUUAUGGGUGAGUGGGCAAUUAAUUAAUGCAUGAUACAUGCAUAUAUACCAACUUCAGUAAGAGCAAAUUUAGAUUUACUUCAUGGCUAUCUUAAUUAGUGUGUAACUAGAAAAGGAUAAAACAAGGCCAAAAAAAAAAAAAAAAAAAAAAAAAAAAAAACAAAGAGGAUAGAAUACAUAAAAAAAGGAGAACUACUUCUCAACAACUUGUAGAUCUUUUUUAAGCCUUUUUUUCAAAAAAAUAAAAAAAUUAAGAGGAGGAGAAAAAAGGAUUAUUUCCUACUUAUAUUUAAUAGGGAAUUAGAAAUCAGAUGGUGGUCAUGCUGUUGUUUUCAUUAUAACAAGCAUUAUCAUAUAUCUACGGCGUUCAUACUAGGUCGGGCUUUCAGAUAGUUUAUCUGAUGUGUCAUUAAGAUUAUUUCUGAAAUAUUUUCUAUAUAUUAAACCACUUCAGUAGAUAACAUGGUAUCAGAGUCAGUCAUAAAUCUCCUCUGUUCAAGAGAGUUUAGUUAGACUCAAUUCUCACGUUAGCAAUAGUGCUGAGACUACUAAUACUACUACUGAGUUAUUUUCUAUGAGAUUGAGUAGAUGGAUAAUAUUAGAUAUUAUGACAAUAAAAGACAACAUUAAAAUGCUAUAGAAUAUUUGGUUUGACCCUUCUGCUAAAAAUUUCUUUUUCUUUGGGCAACACAAUCUGAUUUUACUAUCAGUUUAUAGAACAAAGUCGAUGGUAAUAGUAUUUUAUCCAAUUUUAAAUUUUUAUCAGACGUGUACAGGCUAGGAAAUAUAUAUAACUUAUUGUUAUUAUGCUGACCAUUCACUUAAUCAAAGUUUAAUGUACAAAGAUGCUAUAUAUAUAACCAUGAUUCCAAAUACUUAGUGGAGUUCAAAAGGAAAAAGUAUAAAGGAAAAGCAUGCUCAUAAAGAUAUACAUAUAUAACAGCAAUUGGAGAUCUUUAAGUGUGGAAAGUUAAAUUUAGGUAAACUCUUAUUUGAUCCAUUAACUGCAGGUGUUGGUAUGGUGGUAUCCUAAUAUAAAACCACUAAUGAAAAGUACGUACAUAUUAUGUUUUUUUUUUUUUUUUUAAGAGAUAGGUGUAUGCUGCUUGUUUCGUUUAUUUCAUUUAGAAAAAAACUUAGCUAAAAAUAUGAAUCAAUUAGGAUUCGAACUUGGAACCUCGGGUGCCAACCAUCAAGGCCUUUAUCACUUGCGUUAGGAACAGUUGAUAGAAUUGAGUAUAUAUUUAUGUAGGAAUAAUAUAUAUGAUCCUUUUACGUUUGUUUGCCCCUACUUCUGUAUCUGCUUUUCCAUGCAGCUAUUUCCUCUAGUAGUAGAAUCUUUGGCAUAUAGCACAGAGUAAAAUUUGAAGCUGUAAAAUCAAAAACUCUAAUAUGAAUUGUAAUAAAAAAUUCAAAUUUUAAUUAAUAUAAUAUACUAUUAGGAGCACAGCAGCCCUUGUGCUCCUAAGUUCUUGACCGUCCAUCAAAUUUGAUGGAUGGUUACGGUGAAAGGGAGAAGAAAAAUUGAAGAGAAAUUGGGUUUCUUAAUUUCUCUUCUCUUUGAAUUUCUCUCCAAUUUCUCUUUUCUUUCUCACCUUAACCACCCAUCAAAUUUGAUGGGCGGUNGCUCAACUGUCUCGGCGAGAUUUUGUUAAGGAGCUCCUCAACAAAAUCACGCUUGAUCUCUGUUGGCUUAAAUGGGUCAGUAUCCUUCCCUGUGGCGGGAAGGUCAUAUUCGAAAUAGUGUGAGGUUGGAUGUGCCGAGUCAUGUUCAAAAUGGUGUUGAGGCUGGUUGGGUCGAGUCACAAUCGAGACACGUGGGCGCUGUAUCUGUACGCUUUAAGCACCCGUUUGGUUCGGUGUUAAGAGGUGGAAUAACCCCUUAACCCCGAAGUUAUUCCCAAACACUCAAUUUGGACGGUAGGGUUAGCUAACCCCAUCCCACCCCACUACUUCAACCAAACAAAACACUAUUUUACUCACUAUCCUUCUUAUCCCACCUACUCCAACCAAACACUAUUUUACCUAUAUCUGGACUAAACCCAAUUCGCAACCAAACAUAAAAUUACUCUAACCCCACCUUAACCCUGAACUUAACUCUAUCCCUGGAAUAACAAGUUUUUACUUAAUCCCGAAUCAAACGGUGGCUAAAUGAAUUGGUUGCGUAUUUUUAACAGCUCUAACUUUUGGAAUUAAUGAUUAGCGCCAACGAUCCGACAAAUCUCAACCAUCGAUCAAGAGGUCCUCCAAAGGCCAAUGACACGCGCCGCACGUGCCAAUUACUGUGAUUACUCAACCCAAACCAAAUCCCAAAAAAAAAAGAAGAAGAACAGCUUCGCUCAUAAAACCCCCAUUAUUAAAACACAACAAAUUAAUAAUUAAUAAUGUGACAACUCCACCACAUCUCAAGCCUAUCUUAACACCUUCACUAAACCAAGUUUUAAUCAACAAACGAAUGCGACGCUCAACCAAUAGAAUAAAAGAACGUGAGAGCACUCCUGACAUAAUUUGUUUAAAUUCAAAUUCAAAUAAAAAAAAGUCCAAUUUGAAGAGGCCAACUUCGAACGCCGCCUCUUCUCUCCUCCAAAGAAUUUUUAUUCUCCUACACUUUGUUUUUAUUUAUUUCCAAAAUAGCCCUUGGUCCCUCUCAAGAGCUCUGGGCUCGUGCAAAAAUGUCAAAUUAUUAUAAACUAUUAGUCAAAUAUUUUUAACUAAUAGAAUAUGUUUCAAUAUUCAAAUAUGAUUUUUAUUAUCAAAAUAAUUAUUUUGAGCUUGUUUUUCUUUCUUGGCUCAAGUCAAAUCAUUUUGUAUAAAUUUUUUGACUAUAAAGUACGAAAAUAAUUUUCUAUGAUCUAUUGAACGAUAAAAAAAUAUACAGUGUGAAUUUGUAUUUUUAUACAAAUUCACUAUUCAAAGUUCAGGGGUUAAUCUAAAUCAAUCUAAUCAAUAAAAAAAAAAUCAAAUAUGAAAUAUAGCGGGCGACUAAAGUUAGGCAAUCAGUUAGGACAAAAUUAUAAAGUUUUAAAGUUUUUAAUUUCAAAAUUUAAAAUUGGAAGGGGCGAAUCAGUGAUUCGUUACUUUGCAGGGACAAACAUGCAUUUGUAUCUUUUUUUUUUUUAACUUACCUCCUUCCCAAAAAAGCCCUUCGACGAUCUCGAGAGCUCUUCGAUACCUCCAAUGGUCUCCUUCUCGACCCUUCAAAAACCCUUCUCUCUCCUCCUCCUAUCUCUCUCUUUCUCUCUCUCUCUCUCUCUUCGCGUGAUUGACUCCAUCGACUCUGCCUGAGGAAGAGAGAGAAGAGUAUGGCUUCGCUCUCCUCCCCGAAAUGCCCCUCCUCUUCCCACCAUGCCCCUGCGCCCACCUCCUUCACCGGGAACCGUCGAUUUGCGCCUUCUCCUGCGUAUCUAUCGCUUCGGCCCCUCCCAAAACGCUAUUUUUCGAAGUGGGUCUCCUCCAAUUCCCCCAAAAUCCGCCAUUGGAAUGUAGUUUCCAUGCGAGAUGGUAAUUUUGGGCCCUUUUUUUGCACCUUUUUUUUUUUUUUUCCUCUAUAGAUUUUGAGUAGGAUUUGUGUUAUUUGAUGUGUUUGAUUGUGUUAUUUGAUGUGUUUGAUGGUAAUAAAGUUGCUAUUAUGAUGAUGAUGUAAGGGGUUCUAAUUAUAGUUAUAAGAUUAGAGUGGAUUAGUGGCUAAUUACUUUAACCAUGAUUUAAUAUGUUUUUUAUUGCAGUGAAUUAAUCAGGUGAAGCGCGAUGUUUUAGUUUCCUACAACUGAUCUGUGGUGUGGUCACCAUUGUUGCUUAUUUAGAAGCUCAUGCAAAAAAAAAGAAGAAAAAAGAAGAGUAAAUAGGGCUCCUAGAUAUAUAUCCGUAAAGUUCAAGGAGUUAAGAGAAAAGGAAUUGCUUGAAAUGUCAAUGAUGACUCGCGUAGGUCGAACACUCCUAAGUCAAAAUUUGGUUUUUGUGUAAAAAUCUCUGAUGCCCAAUGUGAUGAGAAAUGUUUGUUAAAGAUUAUAUUUUGCUUGAAUCUAGUUUGAAGAACUUUCCGACACCGUCCUGGAGAUUCACUUAUGCUGUAUAUCUUUUGUUUGGCAUGUUUCUAUUCUAUUAAAAUGCAAGAUUCUUUUUUAGAGUAUUAUCUAUCUAAAAUAUGAAAUUGCUCUUGGUACUGAAGCGGCAACGGUGCCUAUGGAACCUAAGAAAGAAACCCCUUCGAAGGAGGUAGAAAAUGGUUCAAUAGAAACGGUAUCUUCGAAGGAAUAUCAAGAGUUAGCUGGUCUACGCAAUCAUGAGAAGGAUUCAACAGUUAGUAUCACCGUAGUUGGCGCAUCUGGUGACCUCGCAAAGAAGAAGAUAUUUCCCGCAUUGUUUGCUCUUUACUAUGAAGAUUGCUUGCCGGAGGUUUGCCCAUUCAAUUCUAUGCCUGUUUUCUUUUCUUUUCGUUGUUAACAAUUGACGUGCAUGGGCUUCAAUUUGGUUAAUGUUGGGUUUUGAUUUUAUUUUUUCAGCAUUUCACAAUAUUUGGCUAUGCUCGGAGUAAGAUGACAGAUGCUGAAUUGAGAACCAUGGUCAGCAAAACAUUAACUUGCAGAAUAGAUAAAAGGUGGCUGCGGCAAGAGAUAUUUAUAAUUAGUUUAGAAUAGUUUGAUAAUUGACGAAGUGUUUGUUAACUUUUUGUUUCACAUUUGCUAUUAGUACUAAAGGAUUUUUGACUUACAGGGAGAACUGCAGCGAGAAAAUGGAGCAGUUCCUUAAAAGGUGCUUCUAUCAUUCAGGUCAAUAUGAUUCAGAGGAAUGCUUCGCAGAGCUAGACAAGAAGCUAAAAGAACAUGAGGUAAAUGAACUUAUCCCUGAUCAUAACAUAAUGCUGAAAGAGCUUAAUCAGAUACCACUGUUUGGUUAUUGUUCAUUUUUCUGUUAAAUGGUGCUUAUUGUUCAUUUUUCUAGUUUUUAUGAUUGUUGGUUUUGGUCUCAUGUGUUGUUGGCUUUUAUGCUUAGAAAAAGGUUCUCUACUGCCAUCUUAUGUUUGCCACUUUUUUUUAUGCUGUUAUUGAUAAAUAUUUGUGGCCCAUGAACAUAGGUUGUUCGUCGGACCUCAUAAAUUUUUAUGCUUUUAAUUUUUACUGUCGCUUCCAACUUUUUUUUUUCCCCUCAGAGUGCAAACAAUGUGAAAAAUCUGAACUAUGCAGGGCUCAAGGCUUUCAAACCGCCUUUACUAUUUGUCAAUCCCUCCAAAUAUAUUCAUAGAUGUGGUAAAAUGUGCAAGCAAGUCAGCUUCGUCUACAAAUGGCUGGACUAGGGUUAUAGUCGAAAAACCUUUUGGUCGUGACUCUGAAUCUUCUGCUGCAUUAACGAGGAGCCUGAAACAGUAUUUAGAGGAGGAUCAAAUCUUCAGGUAAUUCUGCUCAUACUCUGAGAUUAAUUAUGGCCUGUUUGGCCAUGGCUGAGCUUUUGGUGAAGUACUGUUUGAGGAGAUUAAUUAUGCCUCCUCUGCAGCUUCUUGAUUGCAGCCACGAAUUGGAGUUUCUAUCUUUGGGACCAAAAGCAGCAGAAGCUUCUGAUUAUUUAUUAGCCACGAAUUGGAGUUUCUAUCUUUGGGACCAAAAGCAGCAGAAGCUUCCGAUUAUUUAUUAGCCAAACCCUAGUUUACAAAAGCUUCCACUUUCGAAAGUUGAGAAGCUAUUUCAGAAGCCAAGCGAGAAUAGACACUUAAUCUUUGCUCUAGUGAGGACUAAUUUCAUAAUUUGAAUGGUGUUUUUCUUUUCAUUGUAGAAUUGACCACUAUUUGGGGAAAGAGUUGGUCGAGAAUUUAUCGGUUCUUCGCUUCUCCAAUCUUGUUUUUGAGCCUCUUUGGUCAAGGCAAUAUAUAAGGAACGUACAAUUGAUAUUCUCUGAAGAUUUUGGCACUGAAGGAAGAGGAGGGUAAGAGUUUUUUAUUUAAUCUUAGCUUCUUUCUUUCGGGGUUUACAAUGAUGCGAUUUUAAAGAUUUGUAUUUGGUUCUUGUUUCCAUCUUUAGGUACUUCGAUAAUUAUGGCAUUAUCAGAGACAUUAUGCAAAAUCAUCUGCUUCAAAUAUUAGCAUUAUUUGCCAUGGAAACUCCUGUUAGCUUGGAUGCAGAGGACAUCCGGAAUGAGAAGGUUGUUUGAAUGCAUUAUAUAUUAAACCGAUCUAUUCUUUGUCAAUUGCUACUGGUAGAAAGUAGAAACAUAUGAAGAUUCUCCCAAUUAUAGAUCAUUUCGACAGUCUCAUUAAAUUUAUGCAUGUAGAUCAACACUCUUCAACCUUUUCUUUUCUUUUUCUAUUUUUUUUAUUCGAGCACUUUCAUCGAUCCAAGUGGAUUUGCAGUGAGGAACCAACCUCAAUGUCAACACAUGUGAUCACGUGACUAUUUUUUGCUUAUGAAGAUUAAUGUUUACUUUUAAGGAAAUUCUCAAAUAAGAAAGGUAAUGUGUAGUUAAGGAACCUAUAUGAAAAAAACCUGUAGUUGGAGUUCUCCCUGUACAUUUUUCCGAUUAUUGUUCUUUAGGAAGGUUACUGUAAAAAUUAGGCUGAAUACACAGUUAAACAUCCUGUGACACAAUUAAUUUCCAUGUAAUUUAGGUGAAAGUAUUGCGCUCAAUGAAGCCCUUGCAACUGGAAAAUGUGGUGGUUGGGCAGUACAAAAGCCACACAAAGGGUGGGAUUAUGUAUCCUGGAUAUACAGACGACAAGACCGUACCAAAAGAUAGCUUGACUCCAACAUUUGCAGCCGCUGCCCUUUUUAUAAAUAAUGCUCGAUGGGAUGGAGUGCCUUUUCUUAUGAAGGCCGGAAAAGCGUUGCAUACAAAACGGUAACAGUUCUCAAUUAUCUGCUGUUUCUUAAAUUGUUGCAAUUUGGUCCUCAACUUUUCAAUUGUCACUACUGGGUCCCUAAUCUUUGCAUGUUGUUGUGAUCUUACUCUCUUGGAUAAGUUCUCUCAUCGAAUGGGGCUGAAAUAUCCAUGUACUUUUUGGUGAAAAGUGAAAAAAAUACAGAUCUAACCUGCACUAUAAUGCAUGCAUGUUAAAAUGUACCCAAAAUUAGAUCUUAAGUGGUUUUUUCUGUUAGUGGUUUGAUUGACUAUGAAACUUUGUGUGAACACAGGGCAGAGAUCAGAGUGCAGUUCAGGCAUGUUCCUGGUAAUUUGUACAAGAGGAGUUUCGGGACCGAUCUCGAUCGAGCCACAAAUGAGCUCGUCAUUCGGGUCCAACCUGAUGAGGCUAUUUAUUUGAAGAUCAACAACAAGAUCCCUGGUCUGGGGAUGAGAUUGGAUAGAAGCAACCUGAACCUUCACUAUGCUGCAAGGUAUGAAUACUCACUUUUUCCAUGUAACCUUUUGCAAAAUGAAAUUUCUUCAAACCUAACUGUUAUUUCCAGUAGUUUGUUUAAAAGUCCUCUUCAGAACAAUCAUAAAUCACAUUGAGCAACAGAAGAAAUAAGAUGGUAUAUUUUUCUGUCUUUGAAAAACUAGAAAAUACUCACUUUUUACAUAUAACCUUUUGCAAAAUGAAAAUUCUUCAAACCUAACUGUUAUUUCCAGUAGCUUGUUUAAAAGCCCUCUUCAGAACAAUCAUAAAUCGCAUUGAGCAACAGAAGAAAUAAGAUGGUAUAUUUGUCUAUCUUUGAAAAACUAGAGAAUUUUUGUAUUGAAUAAUUUGCACACUUCCAAAUUCUGUUGAAAAUAUCAUCUUUGCUUUAGCUAUAAAAAUUUGUUAAGUAGGUGACUAUAAGGCAUGAUGAUUCAGCAUUUAUUUUUUCAAAUAUGAUGUUCAAAUUCAUAUAUCUAUGAAAAACUGAACAAUUUUCAACUCAAUUUGCAGUUUGUCUACCUUUUAACUUCAUACAUUUCGCGGCAUCAAAGUGACGCAUCUGCAUACUUUGCCAAAUUUUUAGCAAAACUAACAUUGGUUCAUCUGACAAAACUGAUAACGCAUAACUUUUAGCUAUUUUAACAUUUAUUAGUGUUCUAUUCAUAAUUACCAUUGUUCAUGACGAACCAACUUAAAUCUUAUCUUACGGGUUUAUUAUUUCUUUUUAUAUUUAGAUACUCGAAAGAGAUUCCUGAUGCGUACGAGAGGCUCUUGCUCGACGCAAUUGAAGGGGAAAGAAGGCUCUUCAUUCGAUCUGAUGAGUUAGAUGCUGCAUGGGCGCUGUUCACUCCUCUCCUCAAAGAGCUAGAGGAGAAGAAGAUCGUUCCAGAAUUGUAUCCUUACGGGAGCCGCGGACCAGUCGGGGCCCACUAUCUCGCAGCCAAGUACAAUGUUCGAUGGGGCGAUCUUAGCUCCGAGCCCUACAAGGCUUGAUUUAUAGAUUUCACGAUUUUUCUCCUUCCCCCCCUUUAGCAGAGUGAUAUUUGCGCAGUAAAUGAAUUAGAUUAGAUGGAUGAAAUAGUGUGGAAAUAAAGUUGGAAUUCCCUUCUACAAUGAAGGACUGAUUUAGGUUUUAUGAUGCGAGUGUUUCUAUAUAUGUAUAAUUUUGUUCUUUCAUAUCAAUUGCCCAUCGAGAUCCAUUGAGGCAUUAAGUAGAACAAGCACUGUUAUUUUAGCUAAUCAUUUAGUAUUGUGGAUUCUUUACAUGGAUUAGAUUAAGCCGACUUAUUCCGAGAUAAACCGCAGAGCAGAUGCACUGUAAUUCUGGUGGAAAAGUUAUUUGAUGGUUCAUCUUGUGCAGACGACUUUCCUUAUUCAAUGCCCUGGCACAUACCCUGCUGAGCAGAUCUUUCCUAAUCCUUGCUGUGUGCCGCGCCGCUUCUGCAAUUCAAAGACUUUGUGAGGAACUUACAAAUUUGCGAUUGUUUAAUUCAUAGUCUUUGCAAAUUUGGAGGAUAAUGGAUUGCUUUAGUUAGCUUCACAGCUUGAUUUUAUUCUUUUGGUAAAGUAAACCCUGAAAGGCUAUGAAAUUAUUGUGGGAAAUGCUCUUUUUUAUCUUUGAGUGUCGCAAUUUUGCUUCAAUUUUGCUUUGAAGUAUAUGGUUACUAAAUGCCAUAAUUGGGUGGAAGUGUUAAACUAGUACAUAUGUUUUCAUAUCUGCAUUACUAAGAUGGAUGCAAGAACACAUCUAAGAAAAGUACUUCGUAGCUUUGACUAAUUUCUAACUGGUUUCUUGUGCUAGUCACAGACUCACAGAGCAUAAACCUUCUGUGUAAGUUAAACUUAGGGCACAUUCAGCUUUGCUUCCCAAAAUGCGCAGUCGAGAAAUGGUGCCCCCUUAAUCCCAUGGUAGCAGACCCCUUUGGAGCAGGCCAUGAUUCACUCAGAAUCAGCACCUAAAUAAAAAAGAGAAAGCGCUUUUGCACAGUAGACACAUACCUUAAGCUUAAGACAAAAAGAGCGAAAAAAAAAAAAGCCAUUAACCAUCCAACCUAGAAAACAAAAUUCAAGGUCAUUACAGAUCAUAACUCAACAGCGUCAGUCAAAAUUUGAAGACUCCGCAGUGUAUGCAAAACUCGAAAUGUAAGGAGCUCAAAAUGAAAGCCAGACGUCUGAACCUAUUAUUUGCCAACGAAAAAUUCGGAUUAAUCCUAUGAAGCACUACCCUGCAUCCUAUUUGACAUUUUCUUAGUAAUAAAUACAAUGCUGAAAUAUAUGACUCUUAACAGAUCAAGCAGAAGAACUUGGAUCAGCUCUCCGGUUGCUAAACUUGCUGUAGCUUCGCGCUACCCCUGGUUCGGAUAAGGUAUCCCACACCUAGAAAAAGAAAGCGCACAAUAUGAAUGAGUAUGAAGAGCACAGCCAUAAGGUAAAACAGGGUAAAGAUGGAAUUUUACGCUUACCUGCAAUCGGCCCUUGGAUCCUCCAAUGGCUAAUGAGAACGGACUGUCCUCUGAGAAGGAUACAGAGAAAAUAGCUCCCUGAUAACAAGAGGUAUAUAGAAGAAAGCAUUAUAAUGAGGAGCUUUUUUUCGAUUAAAACGAAAAUUGCUGAUUUAAGUAGUUAGUUUAGUAUAGGAGAAUGGCUUUAGCCUAUUGAAAUGUCUUAUUUAUAAUCAUGACAUUUAAAGACAGUUGCAUUCCACUUGUCAGGUGAUUUAUGAUAUUCUCGAAAAUUGGGAGUAAUUACUUCUCAAUAACUUUCCAGCAUUUUUUCUCAUGCCUCUCAGCAACUAUCUAAAAACAAUACUCGAGUAAGCAAGAGGAGAUAUCCUGGAAAAGUUAUUCUAGCACCUCAAUUGGCCCUAAUUAUCACACCACAGGGAGUUCACUAAGCAUCACAUGCUCUGCUGAUUUCAAUGAGCACAGGUGGAUAAGAAUAUUGACAAGGAGCACAGGAAAUUAGAAGAAGGAAGCAUCGUAAUCUUGUCCACAAAUUGCAGCAAUUAUACAAGAAAAACUCAGAUUUAGUGGACGUCAACACAGAGAAUGGGUGACCUUAAAAUAAAGCUUGAAACACUAAACAAGAUCCAAGUACUUUUUCUCAGUUAGGGUAACGCCACUAAAUAAAAUCAAGUCAUUAGAUGAUACCAAUGAAUUGUUAUAAAGGCAAUAAAGUCAAAAGUUUUUUUUUUUCUUUUAGACUUACAGCUUUUGGAUUCCGAGAUGCAACACAUGAUGGUUGGUUGUUUGAUAAGUCCCAAAUUUUUACCUAUGUUGUCACAAGUAGAUUAGUAAGUAGUUGAGUGUUAAAUAUACGAGUAUUGAACAUAAAUAUAAAUGACAGUGCAUGUAUUACCAUUUUAUCCAUUGAACCGGUUGCAAGAAGCUGCACGGGAGAAAGAUACAAGCACAUAAAAUGAAAAUGAAAAAGUUCAAAAACACCACGAGACUAUGAUUCCAAAAUAAAAGAGAAAAUUAAACAUAAGAACGUACAUUCGGGGCAGAUGGGCUGAAGGAGACAGAAGAAACAGCUUUUUCAUGUGCAUGAAGAGUGAAAGUUGGUUUAGCACCAGAGCUUGAAUUUGAUGAUGCUACUCGGCUAUCGAAGCCUUGAACAAUACCAUUUUCAAGACUGACCUGGAAGAUAUUGAAAACUAUAAAUUACAAAAGGAGAGGGAGGAGGACACAAGAAUAUUAAAGUAACUUAAAACCAGAGUAUGACAAUAAUAAUAAGAAUACUUUGGUCUGGCCACUCAAAGAAAUGAAAAACCGGACCCAACAGGGAUUAUCUCAUGUGCUGAAAUUUGAGGCCUGGUUGAACCAAUGAACUGGGCCAAGUCUGACUCAACUGGGCUUGCUGGGUCGGGCAGGGCAAGCUUAAUCUGCUCAAGCCCUCUGCCAAACAGAACCAAAGUCCUGUAGUUAUACAAAAUUUCUACCUCAUUAUAUAAAGUGGACUACUUAGGAUCCUCACAUUCCCUUGGCCAGGGAUGAAGGGGGAGAAAAAGAUCUUUGCAACCUCAAUAAAUGUGGCAUGGUUACAUUAGACUUACCACAAAUGAAUGUUCAUUAUGCGGAUCCCAUGCCAAGCUCUCAACAUCAGCCAUGACAGACCAUUUAUCAUGGGCACGUUCACCAGAUCUCAUAUCCAUCUGCAUAGUGUGCAAUGCAUGCAAAACAUUAAGUACAAACAGAAAUUGAUGCUUUAGCUCAUUUAUAUAUAUAUCACCAAGACUGGCAAAAAGCUUUUUCUUUUUAUUCUAUACAAUUCUCUUUUAUAUUUAUACUCCUGAAGUAAAGAAACUUUGAAAGUGAAUGGAAUCUGCAAAAUUAUUAUAAAAUGAAAACUUUGAGAACUUCACAAAUACCAUAACUAAAAUUCCUUACGAUGGCAACCGAUUGAUCAAAAGAUCCACUUAGUAGUAUUUCAGGGGAAUGCCGGUUCCAUGCCACUGCCUGAACCUGUUGCAAGCAUCAAAUUUAUUAGUAUUUUCAGAGAAAGAAAAUUUAAUGGCAAAUCAUUAAAUCAUUUUUUAAAAAAAUAUGUUAAGCAAGAUAGUUGAUUCACUAGUGGAUCGAACUCAAAUUUAGCCUAAACAAGAUGGUAUUUGUCACAUCAAACAAGGAAAAAAAAUCUAGGAGAAACAUAACCUCAUAGUGCCUAAACAAGGUGAUGCUCUUGUCCAACCUACUGAACAAAGAUUAGUAAAUAACAACCAAUCAUGUCAAAUCGAAGAUUCUAACCAAGGUGAUGCUCAUAGUCCCUAAACAAGGUGUUGCUCUUUGUUCAUAUUGACUAUGUUUUAGAAAAAAGAAUAACGUAUUGUGAAUAAAUAAUGUCCUUAUUCAGAGGAUAAAAGGAAUGCCAAACUUCACAAUCAUCCAAAAUACUAAUGAAAAAGUUAUUACUUUUUCAUUACGAGAAAAACAAAAUACUGCCGGAAGCAUCUUGACCAAAAUAGUGAUGAUCAACAAGACAUAAAACAGUCAUACUGUUUAUAACUCUUAGAAAGAUAUAAACAAUGUAAAAUUAAUCCAUUUACAAGGAAAUAGAUCGAGAUAGAAGUAUAACAAUUUAGUGCACUACACAAGAGAGAGAGAGAGAGAGAGAGAGAGAGAGAGAGAGAGAGAGAGAGAGAGCGCAAUUGCCUUGUCCUUAUGAUGCUUUAGGGUAAUGACGCAUUUCUUAGUGACUAGGUCCCAAAUCUUGAUGGAUUUAUCAGCACUCGCACUGGCUAGAACAUUCCUGAAUUUCAGAACAUGAGAAUCAAGAUAAGAAAAGAAAAAUUCAGUUGACUCGGAAAAAAAAAUAAAAAGUUGAAUCACAGUAAACCAACUACAUACUCACCGAACCUCCUUAUUCCAUGCAAGGCCAAGUACAGAGUUUCUAUGACUAUCUUUCUUGUACUUCUGUACGGUCAGCAAAUACAAUUAAAAUAAUCAGCAUGACACAAGUACUUUACAACUUUUGUUAAAAAAGCAAAAGAGAUAAUCAUAGGGCACUAGCACAUUGCAAGCAGUCAAAUGAUAAGCGGGUAAGAAUAUUAAGAAUGUUAACUUAGAAAAAUAUAACAAAUAUAUAUAUAUAACUAAAAAAAAAUUAUAGAUACUGGAAAAAGGAUUUGAAAACAUACUCAGAAUCUUUAACUUAGAAUAUUUAAUUAAGGAUGUUAAAUACAAAGAAUAGUACAGCAGAAACUAAAAUGUUGAUGGUCGAGUGGGACUUGGGAUUUGCGAUCCCAGGUAAGAUCAGUUCAGGAUCAUGGGAUCUUUUCUUGGCUGUAUACUAGGGCGCAUAGGUUGAAUCAGAGAACAUUUUAUUCAGCAUAGGCAACAAAAGUGCUUCGUGCAUACGACUUGCAUCAGCAAACAUAUGGCAAGAAAUGUAUACCUUCUUCCCGUUUUCCUUCUUUUUCUUUGAAACACCCCCUAAAACCAUGAAUGGCAGGACCUCCUCAGUCUGACAAUGGCAAAGAAGAACAUUAGAGAAGGUUAUAACCACAUGAAAUAUGAUGAUAGCAUGGAGCAGAAAGACACAGGAAAACAACAUAUCAUGAAGCAAAUAAAUUCAUAUUGUGAAUUGCAUACCAGAUCUAGGUCCCAUAUUUCAAUAGCAGGUUCCAUGGAGCCCACAGCUAUGAAGUUCCCUGUCAAAUCCACACACAUACACACGCACACGCACAAAAAAAAGAAUCAUGCACAGGCAUAUUGAUUGAACAGCAACAUAGGUAGGCGCUCAAAUUUCCUUAGUUCUGAUUUAAUUAUUUCCAUCAGGUCAACUGGGGAUCCAUUAUUGUGAUUUAUUAAAUUUAAGGGCUGCGCCUGCUUUUUAGCUAACAAAGUUACAUGUUUUUACUAAAUAUUUUUAUUAACAAUUAAUUGCUGGUAACUAACAGAACAACCACUUUUGUGGUACUCUCAACAGAAAGAGACAAAAGUUGAUAGGGUGUCAAAAAUAAUAAUAAAUAAUAAUAAUAAAGUAUAACAGUCUAUUUUAAAAUCCCUACUGUCAAGGGAGUCUCUGUACAUUUUUACAUUAUUAAUAUCCAAUUAUAGGAGAAAGAGAUGGACAGAUGGUCUACCUUUAUCACCACCUUUAAGGUUACAGUCCAGCCAAGCUAUGCAGAGGGGAAAAGCUGAAAGGAUGACAUCAUGAUGAACAUACAUGUUUGAAUUCCCAUCCUCUGUUUCCUCAUAGAUCCAAACCUAUCACAUAGACAUAUACAACAUCGUUCAGCACUGAACACGUCUUUAACUAGAGUCCAAAUAACAGUGGUUAAAGCAAUAAGCAAUCAUUCCAGGAAUUUGAAGGAUUUGUCAUUGGAUAUGCAAAUAUACCAAAUUCCUCAACCCAUGAGGCACUAUUCAAGAUCUUAAUUCAAUGCAUAUCCAUCAACUUAAAAACUCCGCUCAACUUGUAAUAGCAGUUGAGCUACAUGAAUACUUCAACUAUGUUUUGAUAAGGUUUGUCCGAAGCAGGUGGUCACACUCAAAGGUUGAAUCAAAAUCAAGCCAUGUAUGUCUCUGCAUGCAAGCUUAUUAAACAUAUGUACACCAAAUAUAAUCCAUAAAAAAUACAAAGAUUGAAACUGCAGCAACAUUGUUUAGAUCAAAAACCCAAAUUAGAAUUAUUGAACCAACAAAAUUCAAUUUCACAUAAUUCCAUCAAAGUUUGAGGGGAAUGUAUUGAACAUCUAUGAAUUAUCAACAGUAAAUAUGUAAAAAGCUAGCUUUAUAUUGGAAAAACACAAACGCGAGUACAGUUCACUCAAAUGAAUUUCAUCACUAUAACUUGAGAAUAGAAAGGUUUCACGCUUCGAAGUGGCCUGCAUAUCAACUACAUAGGUGCAGACACUAGCAAAAAUGUAUUCAGCCUAAAUAGAGUACCAAACAUUGGCAAAAUAUAGUUAGUCUUUUGUUACUAUGCCCCUAAUUGAUAGCACAUGGCAGAGAAAAUAUAAAACUUUAUUCAAAGUGGCUAAUGACAGUCGACAAGUCAUUAACAUAUAAAGGACAGCAAAUGAAGUGCUAACAAGGUCACAGAUACAUGCCUCAAGAUGGUUGACUUCAUCCUCAUUACGUGCACAAACUAUAACUGCAUCAGUAGGCUUUAUGGUCAUGUCUUCGAUCUCUUCUUCAUCCUCAUCAUCCUGCUUGAAACAAUCUGAACAGUUUACUUUCAACAAUUUACAAAAAAUAAAAGAAAAUAAAAUAUCUGUGUAGAGGAAAAAAGAAGAAAAAACUCACAUCCUCAUUUUGCAGAUAAGGAUCCAUAUCAUUACUUGGAUAAUAAAGAUCUCCAAGUCCAGUACUAAAAAGCUCGAUGUCUAAGGAAAAAAGAAUACUUAGAAAAACCAACAGCUCAUUUUUUCUUUCUUAAUUAAAACACAACAACCAAAAAUGCCCAUAACCCAUCCCCAUAGAUUAUCAAAGCCUGCAGAUAACCCCUAGAUUGCAAAGGUUAGCACCUUGCCCUAUUCCAUAAGUUGGUAGGAUUUUCUGAUAAAUCAAGGGAUUAUCUAUAGGAUUUUCUAGUACGUCCAGGGGUUUUUCUAUAUAUUGUUUAAACAAGAAUGUUGGUGAGGAAAAGGCACCUUCAUCCUCAUCAUCAUAAUGAUCCAUGUUAAGUUCCCGAAGGAUAUCAGAGAUAUCUUGAAGAUCAGCAGAGCUCUUAGUAACUUGGUCCUUGCCAAGAGCCUUUGCUGCAGCCAAAGCAUGGGCAACCUCAUCCACUUCUUUCAGAUUAUCUACAUCCAUCUCUUCAUCUUCCUCGCUCUCUCCACUGCAAAUUUCAUUCCAAAGAGGACAAAAUCGUCAGUAACAGCUGUUUUUUAAGCGAAGCAAAGGAUCACUUCUAACAGGAAGGCCCUGCGACAACACCUUCUUUCUAAAACUCCACUCUUCAAAACUUCUUCUAUUUCCUCUUUAGAGGGUUGCUCUGCAACAAGUGGGACAAUCUUUGAAGCGCCCUUGGGGAUCCAUGAUAUGGCGGAAAUCAUCUUCGUCACCAAAACAAAAGGAAGGAGAAUAAAAACAUCAGAAAAAACAACAUUUUUAUACAAAAGGAUCCUGUAUGGAAAAGAGCUGCUAAUAAAGCCUUUCGAUUUCCCAAUGUAUAUAUCUUUGACACCAAAAUGGUCUAAAUCCCAAAUAAGAGAUAGAUAUGCAAUAAAGCAUGUUCAAUUCAAAUUUCAUAAACAAACUAUUCUCACAGACUAGCAGAUUAGCAAAAGUUGAACAAGAUGAUCACAUUUUGACUAACAGAUCAUCAAAAGAGAGAAUAAAUAUUUCCCCUCAAUUUUCUUUCAUCACAAGUUAAACUUGCUACCAUAAGCUAAAAAAAUAAGUGCCAAUUUAGGCCAAACUUCCACAAGCUCGUCGAGCCGAACAGGGAAAUGAGAAUAGGAUCUGUUCAGUUUGCAACUGGAAUACAAAAUCAGAAGCAGAAAAGUCAAAUCUUUGAGCACAUCUAACUUGCAACUAGAAUCAGAAUCAAUAUAGUUUGUUCUAGCAGAACCAAAGCGCAGGAUUUCGUACUUAUGGUGGCAAUGGUGGUGCUUAUGGCGCUCGAAAUGUCGAAGACGAUAGUGAUUGUCUUGAUCGAAAGAGAUAGAAUGUCAACAUGGGAGUAUUACAUCAUAUGAUUCAAAAUUUGCAAAUUUAUCUUCAAAAUUCUAAACCCAAAGACAAAAUUGAAGUGUAGGCGUAGUGUUCUUUGCGAGAAAAAUAAAAAUUGAUACAGCAACAUAACAUUAUACAUGAUUACCACAUUCAAACCACCAGCUUACAGAAUCAAAUAUCCUAAUAAGUUUCGAUUUUGACAUACGCCCAUCAUAUUCUGAAACCGAGGGCACGACAAAAAGCCCAUAAACUCAUCAAAUCCUCCAAAAAAACAGUUCCAAAAACAAAAAGAAAAAGAAACACUGAUUCCUAUUCAAACCAACUGAGAGAGAGAGAGAGAGAGAGAGAGAGAGAGAGAGAGAGAGACUUUGGAGAUGAGAUGAUCGGAGAGGCGGAGGAGGGAGAGGGGUUUUGCGCAGCGCAGGAGCGGCGACGUUCGGAGUAGGGCUCGGUAUUGAACCGAGCUUCUGUAGUAUAUAUAGGACGAACCCGACCGGGUUGGGGAAAUUAUUCGGUGAACUUAGUUCACCACGUUAAAAAAAACCAGUUUCAGUAAUUUUCUACGUGAACCUGGUUCACCUCGUCAUCUGUGGACUAGAACGGGGUUUGUGGUGGAGAAAUUCUACACUGUCACGCUUGCACUACAUCAUCAAUAAUAGGCUAAUCAUAUUCAUUCUUUUCAAACAAAAGUACAAUAAAAAUAUUUUUUUAUAAUUAUGAUGAAACAUAUAUCUCUAAAAAGAUACAUUUGAUUGAUUUGUCACGCCAUGUCACCAUUAUACCGUUGCAUUCUAGAAUUUUUCGUUGUGGUGGGUUGAUGACAUGCUGCGGUCCACAGAUGAUUUGGUGACGUAGGUUCAUUGUAUAGUUUUUCUCUGAUUCCAAGUAUAGUUGAUGAUACGGGUACACGAAAGCCUCCCAUGAAACGCUGAAAACAGUGGGUGUUUCAUUUUUGGGGGAUGCUUUCGGGUCCGCGAAGCAAUUGCACGCGCCGCACUUAUUACCUUUCCAAAUUUACAAUUAAGCCCUUCAUAAUCGUGUCGACAAUCGCAAAACCCUUCUCUCUCUUUUUCGCGCUCGUUCGGUCGUCUCUCUCUCUCUCUUCUCAAACCCUAGGGUUUUACUUGAUUCGUAUCAGCUCGAUCUCCAUGGCCUCCGAAACCCUCGACGAGAAGAAGAGCCAGGACGAUGGAUCGGGCCCUGUAGAUGACGAGGAGGAGCCCAUGGAGGAGGAUGAGGAGGAACCGGCGACUCCGGCGGCGGCGGCGGCGGCGGAGGAGGAGGAGGAAGGCGGAGAGGACGGAGAAGAGGAAGCGGAGGAGGAGGAGGUGGAGGGAGGAGAGGUGAAGGAGCAGGAGGAGGAGGGGAAGGUUGAGGGGGAGAAGGGGAAGAGGGGGAGGAAGAGGGGCGUGGGGGAGAAGAAGAAUGGGGAUGGGGAUGCGGAGGAGGAGAAGAAGCAGAAGAAGAGGAGGAGGGGUUCGGUGGUGAGGGAGAGGGCGACGCCGGCCGUGGAGAGGCCAUCGAGGGAGAGGAAGGCCGUGGAGAGGUACACGGCAUCGGCUUCUCGGAGUGCUUCCUCAAAGAAGGUCCCUUCGAUCUUGCAGGUGAUAAUUACGGUUUUCUAAAGACUAAAAAACUUGUGCUUUAACUAAAGCUGGUUGCUUUUGGCUUAGUUUUUAAUAUGAUGGGCUUUUCAGGGUUCUGGAACCAAGUUGAAGGACAUCCCAAAUGGUACUACGAAUUGCUCUUGAUCCAUUUGGUCUUUACCUUUCCUUACAUGUUUAAGUUUCCCUUUUGUGUUGUCUUAUUGUUAAGAUGGUCCAACAUUGAAAAUUGGCAAAAUUGGAAGCAUCUGACAGGACUUAGAAGCUAAUUUCAGCUUCUUGUGACAGCCAAUGCUCAUAUAGCUUCUUACUGCAUCAAUAGAUUUAGCCUUUUUCUUUGCCUCUGCUAAAAUUGUUGGUACUGAAGCUGUUCUAAAACCAGGCCAAAUAGGCAGUUAGUCUCAUAUAAUAGUAUGUUCUUCUCUAUUUUUGUGGAUAUAGUUAGUUGUUGUUACUUUUAAUUGAAGUACUAACUUUAGUGCAAGUUUUAUCUGGGUAGCUGGAUAGGAUGUGAAUGAUUCCUAUUUACGUGGAAACGCUUUGUCGAGUUUUAUGGUCUGCUUGUCUUUUGAUAAUGCUGAGAGGAUUUUGGCGUGAAUUUCUUUUUUAAAGCCGUGCACUUCCUUAACAAUUAGCUAUUUGUGUUUGCGUUACUAAUGUUGCUAGCUCUAUCAGUUUCCUUCAAGUUGUCAAAAAGAAGGAUAGACGAGAAUCUCCAAGUUCUUCAUACAAUCCUUUUCGGAAGGAAGUCAAAUGUAAGACUUCCUUUAAGCUUUUCUAUCAGCUACUGCUCUCGUGCUAAAAUAUUCUAAAUUCAUGGUCAAGGUUUUGUUUGCAGGCCCAUUAUUUGAAAAGAAACAUUUCCCAGUUCUCUGGUUUUGUGUGGGGUGAGAGUGAGGUAAUGUGACUCUCUACUAGCUUUUUUUUUCACAUAAAAAAGAUGUGUUCUGUGGAAUAAUUGGUAUUGAGAUUUGUUCAUGCAUAUUGAUUGAACCCUGUUAAUUAUGAAGACUGUUGAAUUACUUGGCAACUUGUCUUUAAGCUACUUAUUUUAGCUUCUUAUCUUAUAUUGAUCAUGCAUAUAUGCUUAAGAAAAUUUUCAUAUAUUCAGGAAAAGCAGAAGGCUAGACUCAAAGAAAAGCUUGAUAAAUGCAACAAAGAGCGGUUACUCGAUUUCUGCGAGCUACUUGAUAUACAUGUUAACAAAGCCACUACGAAGAAGGUUUGACCAGUUUAACAAAGUGAUCCUCUCUUUUUACGUGCCAAAGACUUUGUGCUCAUGUUACAUUGUCCUUUCAGGAGGAAAUCUCUGCAAAAUUGGUGGAAUUCUUGGAAUCCCCUCAUGUUACUCGAGAUGUUAUACUUUCUGAAACACCUGAGGUGUUAUGCUUUGCCAAUUCAAAGUGCCUUUUAGUAUCCCCGUUUGAGUUUUGGAGUACUUCAUGUGUUUACCAUUUUCUUGCAGAAAGGUAAGAAACGCAGGAGGGCAAAAGGAAUCACUCCAGCAACACUAGGAGAAGCAUCUCCAGAUAAAGAAUCAAAGGUUUCUUUCUAAUCAGCCAUUAUUUAGCUUAUUGUUUAUUUUUACUUAUGUUGACACUUGUAUACCUAGUUUACCACCUUGACUAGAUUAAAGAAAAAUACUUAAUUUUAGUUCAACGCAAGAUCAUAUUAUUAGGACAAGGUGAUGAAAGCGUCUUAGGAUUUUUGCUUCACCUUCACCUGAUCAAGCACACUGAGAAUGAUAGACACCUAAGCAUGAAUUCAAGCCUUCUUUAAACAAGUGAGAAGGCUAUACUGAAAAUGAUCUAUGAAGAAAUUAUAGGACUUUGAUUGUCUUGUAAUGAUAAGCUUUGUUACCAAAUUAUCAUCCUUGAUAAUAUGGUAGCUCUUUUUCUUCUUCACGUAUUGAUAUUUGAAGCACUUUUUUCUGCAACAGAGAAAGGGUUAUAAAAGAUCAGUUGAAGCUGAGAACGAAAACGAAGAUGAAGGUGGUUCUGCUGACUCAGCAAAGGAUGCAUCUAUUGAAGCAGAAGAUAACGAAGAGUCAGAUGAAGAGAGUGAGCACGCUAAGAGUGAGCAGGAGAAUGAGGAAAGUGAACCUGAAGAGCCCACAGCAAGCAAUAAAAGAGCUAGUAAAAAGGAGAAGACUUCUACUGGUAAAAAAGCCGCUUCUGCAAAUUCAAGUAGAAGCUCUAAAGUUGUUCCAAAGAAGGUGGAAGUAGAAGAUGAACCGGAUGCACAACUAGAAAGCAAAAAAACCUCAAAGGCCUCAACAAAGCGGAGAAAUGUGGUCAAGAAGGGUUUAGACAAAACAAAUAAAGGGGUUCCAGAUUCUUCUUCAGGGAAAAAAGUUGCUUUGGAUGACCAUAAAUCCAGUCAAUCUACAGUCUCCAAAUCGAGAAAGGAGGAUCAAAGGAAGGGUCAAAGUAAGACUACUGCUAAUAAGAACACUAAGUCUAUCAAGAAGCAGGUUGCUAAGGUGGAUUCAAAGGUUUCCACCAAAAAACAAGGUGUGAACAUUUGGACUCUUUUCUUGUGUGCUUCCUUCUUUUGAUGUUUGCUAAAAGUUGUUCAUGUGUGCUUGACUGUAUAUUUUAAUGUGUGAAAUCCUGGUCGAUCUGAUGUAGCUAUGUAAAUCUGAUUUUGUUUAAUUCUUUUAGUUUGUUGCUAAUGUUUAAAUAGAAGAUGCGAGCACUUUUUUCUUGUUAGGAUGAAUGAUGAACCUUGUGCAUCAUUUCAUCUCAAGUUUCCACAUCAAUAUAUAGCGGAACAUUUUUCAGACAUCAGAUUUUCUUGAAUUCAUCUUAUCAGUCAGAUUGAGAUAUAAAGUGACAAAAGCCAGAUUAAUACCUCUGACAACAUGCCACUCACCUUCCACACCUUUUCAUCAUAGCCCUUUUUCAUGUAUAGUACUUGAAUAUCUGAAUAAUGGCCAACUUCUGAGCUGAAUAAUAGAUCCUUGUUUGUGCUGUUGGCUGCAUAUAUAACCAGACAUAUGCUUCAACCUACAAGGCCAUAAUAUCCUACUUUUGUUAUUAAGUUUGUUCCCACCCUCAUGAUACUAGGAAAAGGCAAGGCAAGUCGAGAUGCCAACAGUGGACCCAGCACGGAAGAAUUGCAUGCUGUGAUCAGCAAAAUUUUGAAACAAGUGGACUUCAAUACGGUGAAUACUUGCUGACUUAUUGAGUGAUGUUUCUCUUUUUUUCUUUUUUCUUUUUUUCCUCGCCCCAGUACUAACCACAAAUUGGCUGAUUCGCAGGCAACUUUGGCUGACAUUCUCCGUCAAUUAGGUACUUAAUUCUGUUCUUUUUUUAUACCAACUGUUCAGUGUAUUCUGUGUCAGUGAAAUUUUACCUGUUGAUCAUUCAUAUGGGGGGUUUACUAAAUAUUUCUGGCAAAACCUACGAUGCUUUUUCCCAAUUGGAAGGUGGUCCCCUAAGUUUAAUUUGAUGCAAAGCAACUAACCAAUAUAUUUCUACAACUGCAAUGGGCCCAAGGAGCUUGAUUUGAUGUAAAUGGCAUAUCAAUUAUUUACUUUAUUGGCAGUUUUGUUGCUGUUUCCAUGCUGAUACUUUUAAUUGGAAAGAGAACUUGUUUUUUUUUUUUUUUCCUUUUCCCCAAAUGCACAUGAUGGGGAAUAAUAUCUACUUGAUAAUGUGGUUUUUUCCUUUUUUUUUCUUUUUUGGUACUGAAUCAAACUCAUAAGGGUUAAGUUGCAAAUCAAGAUCAGUAUGCUUCCUGCCACCAAACUAAACUUAAUGGACCAAUGAUUAGGGGGGGGGGGGCGCGGGGACGGGUGGGCAGGGCCGGGGAGCCGCGGGAUCGUCUCGGUGGGGUGGAAGCUUCUGAUACUUAUUCGAGAAUGAUAGCUGUAUUACUGCUCGGUGAAGAGGAGACUUGAAGUAUUUGAGCACGUUUUAAACAGUUGCUUUGGUUUUAUAUGCAGGGAUUCAUUUUAAUGUGGACAUGAUGGAUAGGAAGGCAGAGGUGAAGCGAAUAAUAGAAGAUGUAAUAAAUAGCAUGACGGAUGAUGAGGAAGAAAGCGAGGAUGACGACAAUGAUGGUGGUGAUGAUGCUGGUGGUGAAGCAAAUGAUGAUGAUGGGGGGGAAGAAGAUCACAAGGAAGAUUCAGAUGCAGAUGAUGAUAAGUAACUUAACCAAUUUUUUCCUCGCCCUUUUCUGGCAUGUAUAUGGAGUCAGCCAUUCUCUCUUGUGCUUACUUUUUCUUUUCUGGGAGGAUUUGAGUAACUCUUUUGAUGUACCAGAUAUCCGAGCCUAGUGGCUCCUUGUACAAUAGUCUCCUCAUUAGAUUUUUCUUCUUAAUCUUUCCUGUAGGCAGGUUAGUCUCGAAUGUAAUGUUAAAUAAUUUUUGGCUUGUUGGUCUGAUCAUUGAAUGUAGUUUCAGAAAACCUCAUGAUCCUGUGAUUCAAAUACCUUUCAUGGUGAAUGUCCUUCGAUGAGAAAUUAAAUAAUCCUUCAAUUACCAAAAGGAACCAUGUUUCAAAUUUUGCGUUUGUACCUUGCAUCAAUCACUGUGUGAAGAAAGCUGUUGCUGUAAUUUUUGUAAGAAAACUGGUUGCGAAAAUGCUUGCCCUUUCUAUUCCCUGCAUUAUGAAUUGCCUUUAAGAAAAAAGAGAUGACUUGUGUGCAUUUUUUGAGUGUUGUAAUAUUGAUCAUUGUAGGAGUGAGUUGUCUAUAAUUUGGUUCUCCGAUAAACUGUAAUCUGUCAGAAGUCUACAGUACGGUUAACCUGGUGAGUAUGAUUUUGUAGGUCUUUAGCUUUUCGGAUAGAUUAGAAAUUUGUAUGAAGGUUUUUGCUUCAGGAGAAUCUUGGAGAAACUUAUAGUUGUCACAUGGAAGUUUCUUGGGAAGUCUUUGCUUGAGGUGGUCUUUGCUGGUGGGAAAUGGGUCUUUCUUGAGGAAAAGGGAUACUUUCAAAUAAAGAUGGAACAGGGACAAGCCAUAAUAUCAAAAUUGUACAGAGACCAACUAGACAUUUGCACCUUUUCUGUUUUCUUUCAUUCAGAGAGUGCUAUUUUUACUUAAUAAGCCUUGAGAGAGAGAGAGAGAGAGAGAGAGAGAGAGAGAGAGACUUCUAGGGAAAAGCUGAUUGAUUAUCCCAAUAGUGUUGUUACUCCUCAAUGAGGUGUAAAUGUCUUUGCACAGAUAUAAUCCUUUAUCAUAUACACAUAAAUAAUUUUGCUAGAAUCUUGCUAACAGUGUUUAGCAGGAGCAGAAAUAGAAACUUCAAAUUAAAAUUUAUAUUUGAAUUUUAAGAACUCAAUUUUUGCUUUCUAACUGCUGCAAAACUUUCAGACUUUUUAUUUGCCGGAAAUCUGGCGAAGCUACAUGGAAGUGGCACAUGCUUUGGUAGAUAGUUGUGAGGUUGUGUAAAUUUAUAUUCACAUUUUACUUUCCUUUUCUUUUCCUUUUACUUUCUUAAAAAUGUACAUCAUGUAUCCUAUAGUGGUCAUACUUAUUCAAUAUAUAUAUAUAUAUAUAGAACUAGGCUGGAAUACUAUUAAUAGCACCAAGCUAUUGGUGUUAUUAGUUUUUUAGCCAUUGGAUUGAGAAAUGUACGGUUAGGAUGAUGUGGGCCCCUAGGGUUGAGUGGGUGGUUGGUUGUAUAGUAUAAUCUAACGGGUAAAAAUAAUCAAGGGGUUAAAUCUAACGGUCGAAAANUGGUGGUCUAGAAGAAAGGGAGGAGUGUAGUGUUAAGUUUAAGAGAGAAUAGAUAGGAAAAAAAGAGCAGCAAAGUAAGACUCUCUCUCUAUCUCUUUCUCUUUAGUUAGGGGUUGCUUUGUUUUAUUUAGUAUGUACAUGGGUUGUCCACUGGUUCUGGAACAAAAUAUCACCAGCAACAUUUUCCUGGGCUAUAGGUGAAAGUUAGUUGGUCUCCAACACAGUAAAAUACAAAUAAUAUAUAUAUAUAUAUAUAUAUAUAUAUAUAUUAUUUGUAUUUUACUGUGUUGGAGACCAACUAACUUUCACCUAUAGCCCAGGAAAAUGUUGCUGGUGAUAUUUUGUUCCAGAACCAGUGGACAACCCAUGUACAUACUAAAUAAAACAAAGCAACCCCUAACUAAAGAGAAAGAGAUAGAGAGAGAGUCUUACUUUGCUGCUCUUUUUUUCCUAUCUAUUCUCUCUUAAACUUAACACUACACUCCUCCCUUUCUUCUAGACCACCACAGUUCAUAUAAUCCAAUCAGCAUCUCUCACUGCACCAGCACCACAACCACCACUAUAUAACUCUCUUCACCUUCACAUCCCUUCUUACUCACCUGCAACACUCUCACAAUCCCCAUAUCACCCUUCAACAUCCAACAAUGGUACUCUCAUUACUCCUCACCUGUAACACUUACCUCUCUACUGUGUUUUCCUCUUUUUUUUUCCCUCUCUCUCUAAGUCAUUGCAUUGCAGGUCUAUGAGGAUGCAAAAACCAUCUCCAAGAACACAUGCAAUGGAAGUACAUUUGAUCUUACAGUAAAACAAGGAGACCCAUCACUUGUCCCUCCCAUAGAAGAGACCCAAAGAGGACUCUACUUCCUCUCCAACCUUGAUCAAAACAUUGCAGUGAUAGUUCAAACUAUAUACUGCUUCAAAGAUGAGAUUAAAGGGAAUGAAGCUGCCUUUGAUACCAUACGAGAAGCCUUAUCAAAAGUGCUUGUCUACUACUACCCUUUGGCGGGGCGGCUCACGAUAAGCCCCGAGGGGAAGCUCAUCGUCGACUGCACGGGAGAAGGUGCGGUAUUCGUCGAGGCGGAGGCGCAGUGCGAGAUGGAAGAGAUCGGAGACAUUGCGAAGCCCGACCCUUCGAUGCUUGGCAAGCUUGUUUAUAGCUUUCCCGGGGCGAAGAACAUUCUAGAGAUUCCUCCUCUCGUAGUUCAGGUAUGGUCUUUGUUAUCCAUCGUAUUGAUUUAAUAGAAAAAUAACUCAGAAAUAGUAUUAAUGCUUGUUAUUCUAAGUGUAUGGGGAGAUUAAAUGAAUCAUAUCAUGUACGCUGAUAGAACAGAUAACGAAAGAGGCGGUGGACAAGGGCUUAACACAUAAACAUCUAAUGAGCGAAAUUGAACCAACGAUAGGUGGGGAGCUUAACAAACGGCCUAAAAAUAGCUUUCAUAAUCUUUAGCUCCUGUGAUUCAUGCAUAUGGAAGAAGAAUAAUUUUUGAGUUUUUCUAUGACUAGUGUAGAUUUUUUAGCUAUAUUUAGGUCACAUGUAGUAGAACUAGGCAUUAAUGUCCUCAACAAUCUCCACAAAGCAGGGUUCUAGCCAAUAAUAGCAAAACCUUUCUUACCCAAAUCUUGGACCAUCCAUCCAACAACACUAAUCCCAAAGUCAACCUUAUCUAUGGUUCUUAAAUGCCAUCUAAGGAAGGGUGGGACAACGACAACAUUUGAAGUUUUACUCAUUUGGAAAUUUAGUACUCCUACAUUGAUAUAUCUCAUACAGCAUUUAAUUCCUAUAAUUAAUUUUCUUGUCAGUAUAGUUCUGUUCUGCAAUUAAGCCUUCAUUUUUUUUUAAAUUUUUUUUUUUCCUCCUGAUGAAACCUCUAGAUGUUACUAGGAUUUGUUAGAAGUGGCAAUAAGUUUCUCUUUUUGGUUAUACUACAAUAAAGAUCUCCAUUUUCUUGCAUUAAUUCCAGGUUACAAAAUUCAAAUGUGGGGGUUUCAUACUUGGACUUGCCAUGAACCACUGCAUGUUCGAUGGCAUCGGAGCCAUGGAGUUUGUCAACUCAUGGGGUGAGACAGCGCGCGGCCUACCGCUGUCGGCACCGCCGUUCUUAGACCGGUCCAUACUCAAAUGUCGCAACCCUCCGAUGAUCGAAUUCCCCCACCACGAGUUCACCGAAAUAAAACUGCACUCAUCAAACACCACCAAUGAUCGCUAUGAAGAGGAGAUGGUCUACAAAUCCUUCUCCUUCAAUCCUAACAAACUUGAACAUUUAAAAAUGCUCGCCAUGCGAGAUAGUGCUCUCAAAAAAUGCACCACCUUUGAAUCUCUCUCUGCAUUCGUGUGGCGAGCGCGUUCCAGGGCACUCAAUCUCGAGCCCGAUCAAAAGACCAAGCUUUUGUUUGCGGUCGACGGUCGGCCUAGAUUUGACCCGCCAUUGCCAAAGGGCUACUUUGGCAAUGGAAUUGUGCUGACCAGCUGUUUGUGCAAUGUAGGGGAGCUUCUAGAGAAGCCGCCUUCUUUCGCGGUCGAUCUAGUUCAAGAAGCUAUAAAGACGGUCGACGACCGCUACAUGAGGUCGGCGAUGGACUACUUCGAAGCGACGAGGACUAGGCCUUCGCUUGCCGCGACAUUGCUGAUAACCACUUGGUCUAGGCUUUCUUUCCACACAACUGAUUUUGGGUGGGGGGAGCCAAUUCAGUCUGGGCCGGUGGCUUUGCCUGAGAAGGAGGUGAUACUCUUCUUGUCUCAUGGGAAGGAAAGGAAGAGCAUUAAUGUGCUUCUUGGGUUGCCUCUCUCAGCAAUGAGUAAGUUUGAAGAGUUGCUGGGGAAUGUAGGAAAAGAGUGAAUUACCUACAUCUUAAUGUUUAUGAUGAUGGUGAGGGUGUUGCUCUUUAUAUAUAUAUAUAUAUAUAUAUAUAUAUAUAUAUAUAUAUAUAUAUAUAAAUAUAUAUAUAUGUAUACAGUGAAGUGGUCUCCUACUGUGUUGAACCCAAAAAUCUUUUCCGGGUCUCUCAAGAGUGGUUUUGUUGUUUGAAUAUGGUUUUACUUUGGGCUUUUAAUGUUGCUUCUUUUAUAUGUAUGUGGAAAUAUAUGGUGUUGCAUAGUGUUUAAAGAAAAGUUCAAUAGGUGGCAUCUUUAUCUUCAUUUGUUGUGAAACUUGCACUGUUUAUGGAGGAGGAAUCAUGCUAUUUAUUAUCAAGGUCUGAGCGUGGCAUGACCAGAUCACUUAAAGCUACUGUAUUUGGUAUCUAUGUUUUUCUCAGUGAAUCUAUAUAUGUAGCAACUGUCCAACCUGCUUAACUCAUUCAUGCUUAUUGUCUGUGCUUUCUUUUCAAAUUGCAAACUGAGAUUGGUUAAUUCUGUAUUAGGAGUUAAAAGAAAUUUUGUCCAGCUCUCUCUCUCUCUCUCUCUCUCUCUGCAGAAAAUUUCAAUUUUUUGUAUAUACAAUUUUGACCAUUAUAGUCAUGUUUAGCCUAUGUUUUUCUCAGUGAAUCUAUAUAUGUAGCAACUGUCCAACCUGCUUAACUCAUUCAUGCUUAUUGUCUGAAAGUUUUUUUCAAAUUGCAAACUGAGAUUGGUUAAUUCUGUAUUAGGAGUUAAAAGAAAUUUUGUCCAGCUCUCUCUCUCUCUCUCUCUCUCUCUGCAGAAAAUUUCAAUUUUUUGUAUAUACAAUUUUGACCAUUAUAGUCAUGUUUAGCCUAUGAAAAAAACUUUCGGAUAAAGGGCAACAUUCCUACCAUCACAUUGCAUGUGUGGUAGGUAUUGAAUAUAAAUAUUAGAAAUAGUAUAUUCUGGUAGCUUAAGUAUUUGAAGAAUAAUGAUUAUUUCACACAUCAUUAUAUGGUAUCAAGUAGAGGAUUCUGAAUUCGAGUCUGGUUAGACUCCUAGUAGGGAAAUAUUGUAGUCUGAUAAAAUAAAUUUUUGUAGAAAAUAUUGAUUGUUUCAUAUAAAAAAGAAGUUGCUGAAAGUAUAAACAGAUUCUAAUGAAUCAGGGAGGAACUCUGCCCAUCACAUGGUUUAGGAUUGAGAUAGAGAGACAUCACAUCACACUUCUGUGAAAGUUGACAACCUCAUUGAUGAAAACUGAACCAACUACAAUAAAACCAUCACCACGUGCAGUACCCUCGUAAUUAAGUCAUGGUUCUAUUGUAAUCUCUCUCUCUCUCUCUCUCUCUCUCUCUCUCUCUCUCUCUCUCUCUACAGAACCACCACACACUAUGCGUGUUUGUAUGCAGUGGAUAUGCAUAUGGAUCUAAUUACAAAAUGAAAUGUCUCUUUUGGUACUGUUGCAUUUCCCUUUUUUAAUUUUUUGGACUUAGAUUCUAUUUGUGUCAAUAGGCGACGCAUUGUCACAAUCUAUAUAUGUUAUCUGCAGGAUUCUUUCAGCAAUAAAAGAACAAAGACAAAAAAAAAAGAGUUAGUAAUAACUCAUUAUUCCCUUCUUUGACUAGUUUUUUGAAGCUGAACUUAUGGGCCCCACCCCGGCUUUGGAUUUUGGGCCUGAACUUGAUGAGGUCCUUUCUCACAGCGUAGUUAAUGACAAUGCUGCAUAUCUUUAAAUUCGACGGUGGUCAAUGCACAUGAAUUUUUGUUUUGGUUGUGCAGAGGAGAUGUCAGAAGAGCUUCUCAGCAAAUUUUGCAUCAUAGUCGCCUCUUAAGGACACGCGUCCCUGCCCCAGCAGUACAAGUUUCGGGUCAGAGCUUCUGCUUAUAUAUACAUAUAUGCAUCUUUUUUUACUUCUCGCCACAGCAAAACCCCUAAUUUGAGCUAUAUCGUAAAAGCAGUAGCAACGCGGCUCCAGAAGACUUUUUUGAGCAAAACAUCAUAAAUGCAAAGAUGAGACGAGCAAAUCCAUUCACCAAAUGAGAAGCGCUAUAUCGUGCUAAGAACGCAGUAGCAUCACUAUUUGAAGCCAAAAAUUAAAAAAGCGAAUAGAAAAUAAACAAGUACAACGAAAAUAAACAUGAAAAUAGCUGCUGCUAGAUUGUAUCCUCUGCUCGUAUGCAUUUGUAAUCACGAUCACGACGACUCGUUAAUAGCAACUCGGCGAUCAUGAAAUGGCGAAGAAAUGCAUUCAUUAUAAGGAAAUUAAUCUCUCCCUGCUCUUGUAGUUUGGAAUUCAGAAAAAAAGUCCUAGCAACAUAAAAUGUUAGCAAUUCAAUCCAUAUCAGGUAUCAGACACAUCCGAUCUAUUCAGUAGAUUACACUUCAACACAUGAAAUGUUUGUUAAGGCUCACGAAAUAUACAACACAGAAUGGUAUUAAUGAUGAUAAAACCACAAAAAAGUAUCUAUUCGACUAGGGUCAUCCCUCAAGGAAGUUUUAAGUCCAGCAUAAUCUUAAAAGCUUUUUCCCCUGGCAAAUGCUUUGGUUCUCUAUUGCUUGGUCAUGGGAGGCGGAGCCGUCGGCAAGGGCGGGGGCUGGCCAAAGAGACCGCCACCACUGUCCGAUACAGGGAAGUUAGGGAACAUGUUUGGCGGAAUGGGGAAUGGGGGCAUGCCGCCGACCAUAGGAUAGCCCGGCAGAGGAAAGGGAGGAGAUGAACCGUAGCCGUAUGGUACACCCGUCAUGGAACCUGCGGCAUUCUGCAUGAACUGAGUGGUGCUGAUGGCUGGCAGCAAAGAGGCAGGCGGUGGCGGCGCUUGCUGCUGAACAAUAGGACUCGAGUGGCCCACGGGUGGCGGCGAUGACUGUGGCGGCUGCGGCGGCGGUUGCAGUGCAUCAGGAUGCUGGAAGGGAGGUAGGGGCAGCGGUGGCUGAGGGUGGGAAGGGACAUAGGAAGGAACAGCAUUCUCGAGUUUCGGGCGCUUAUUAUCGGGAGGAUGCUCUUCUUUCGGCUGUUGGGUGAUGACACCCUCAGAAGCCAGGGAGGAGAGGACAUAGCUGAGCAUCUGGGCAGAGGAGGUUGAAGCUGCCAGCUUCGCCACCACGGCAGCAGCGGCAGUCUUCCGGUCCUCUGCAGCCUCAGGGUGGUGGGACAGGUUGCUGGGGUUGAUGAGAGGUGCCUCUGGUGUGUACGUUGCAGUGGUGGUUUGGGGUUUUUCGCCAGUAAGAGCAGCAGAUUCUUGGAGGACAGAGGAUGACUCUUGGAAAUUCUGAUGAUCGGUCGGCGGCGGCGCAAUGUUGUAGGCUGGUAGCUUUUGGCAUAUAAUGUCAGCUUGUUCAUACCGUGACUGAGCCACCUGGAAAUAGUUUGAAACAGCGAACAAUAAUAAAAAAAAUAUAUAAAUAUCAGAACAAGUGGUGCGAGGGUUCUCUCCAACUUUCAAGAGCAAGAGCAACCUAAUAGUUAAAAAAGAAAAGUCGAUAAAGCUUUGUCGAUCUUAAAGAGUUAUUACAUGGGGCUAACUUCACAAAUUUAUAAGUUUCCCCCUUACCUUGAUAUCCAAAUGUUGUUGAGACAUCAUGGUGAUACAUUUGGAAAUCAUCAAUCUUAAAUCGAUAAACUCAAAUGUCCACAAUUGGCGUCAUGAAAGAUUUAAGAUAUAGAAAUUUUUUACGCGCUUGGGGAUUCGGAUGGAUUAACAAAGAACUACCCUCCAGCAGAUGAUAUUUGAUUAGCAAGAUUUCGAUCGGUGGUAUUUGAUGUGGUCAAAAAAUAGACUUUGUGAUUAUGAAUGUCAUCCAUCCACCACAUCAAAAUCUGCCCAUUACCCAGUAAGUUCCAACAAAGCUCAUUAAUAAGAAGACACUACCAAGUCUCUAAGCCCACAUACAUCGUAUAUAUUUAGCAUUGAGUACUGGAUGGCUUUGCUUGAAACCACAGUACACACCAGCAUCAAUGGACAUACUACUCACUGUACUAUGAUUAGGAAGUUGUUGAACUCUGUUGGAAAAAGAAACCAUAGCAGACCUAAAAAUGCUCAGAAGUGUGAAAAUUACCUGAAGUUGAUUACGAACUUGUUCAAUCUUCAGUUCCUGCAUAUUAACCACACAAGGUUCGUAAGCAUAUGAGAGGAAGACACUUAAUUUAACUAAAUGCAACUGUAAUCUCUCUUCAACUUGUUUAAAAUUACUCACUUGCUCAUGAAGCGCCUCUCGUAAAAGGGAAAUGAGAGUUGUCCGAGAUGAUUCAGCUGCUUUUAGUUGUUCUAUACAUUCUCUUAGUAUGCCAUGGUGCAUCUGUAACUCCCCCACUAUAGAUCCAUUGCCAUUCCCUAUGAAUAUACAACAGACAGAAAUAAUGAUCUGUUCGAACACUCUGUAUCUUAACAAGCAGUAAAAAAGUAAUGUAGAAACUGCUUUGAUGAAUAUUUAGAAAGUUGGAAACAGCAGCUAGCGGAUGCGAUCCAUAUUUCGAUUUGCAUAACUCUGACUGGUUUUUAAGGUCUAAAAUAAGAACAAACUGAUUAAAUUACGAAAUAACUUAAUAUACGUGGUCUGGAUCGUCAAUGUAACAAAAUGUCUUUUAUAAAGUGCACCAAAAUCCAAUGUGGGAACAUACCAUUCAAACACAAAAAAAGAAAGAAAACAACGAAGAUGAACCAACUCCAUUUGCAUCUUUCAACUCCAUUGCACAUAGAAACCCCUGAUCAUUUCAGGUACCCACGACGAUUGAAAUGUUGAAAGAAAAGUUUGAGCAAAAAAUAGAAAUAAAUACACGGAAACACAGUAAAAAUAGAAAUGGGGGAGAACUCGUGAGUCAAAUCUGAGUUCAUUAACUUUGAAGUUUGAACAUUCGCUUCGAAUGACUAAACCUGGCGACUCAGCGAAACUUUUAACUUCUUUACCCCCCCACCCAAAAAAAAAAACAUGAGUAACAUAGCAAUGAUGUAUUUAGCAUUUGAAUGUGAAGAAAAGAGAUUUUUGUACAAAGAUAAUGUUCCCAGUUAUCAUUUGGAUCAUGCGUACAUGCAUAGAUCUUAGCUGCUUGGUGGUAAUAAUAGCAGACCAAAUAUUUAAGUCAAUUAAUGAGCGACUAGUGAUGGCACAGCUCAAAUUUGGUAAUUUCUGAAGCUCGUCUUCAGUCAUCCAGGUUAUGGAAAACUUGUUUAACAUGAUUUGCAAGAGAACAAUUGAGUAAGAAGGAAACAGAAGGCCACAAAGUCCUGAGUGACUUGCUGAGUCAGAAUUUUGAGAGACUUGAUCAAACUUAGUUUCUCUGUUUUUCUUACUCUUAUUUUGCUUCCAAAAGUUGUAUCUCACAAAAUUUCAACUUGUCGACCUUGAAGAUGACUCAAAUAGUUGAGUGAGCUCGUAACUUGGUCUAGCCAUACAGCUGUAUCAAAGAGGCCCAGUUUGGUGUAGAAGAAGACAAGAAAGCAAGCCAAAAGAUAUCCAUGUUCCUCAUCAAACAAAAACAAACUGCUCAUCAACUUUGUACAGUUAAGACUUACAGGUAUUUAAUAAUUGCAUACAUGAUGCCAGUCCCAAACUAAUGUAGCACUCCAACUCCCAUUAUCACAUAUCCCGAAUGAUUUCAGGAUAAGAUGGGAGACUACUUAGAACAAAAACAUAGCGAACUGACUCAAAAAUGUUUAAAAAAAGAAACUAAUUAAUAGGAAAGUAAUUAGUACAUUUAAACAAAAGAAUCCAAAUUGGCACAAAUGAUGGGUGUAGCAUUACCUGGAGUUAAGUUAUUCCCGUAAUCCUUGUCCACCUUGUCAAUGAAACUAAUAGCCACUUGACACUUUCCAAAUAAGGUUUCUUCAUCUACAGGAACACUAUUGAUAUGCUCAUAACUCGAAAUAAGAUUCUCCAGCAGUUCUCCACCAGGUUGUUUCUGUUUAUGCCAGAAAAGGCAAUAGUAUCAAAUUCAUAUAAAUAUGGGAGGUGGACAUGCCUAGAUGUUUCAAAACAUAGAUUGCGGUGCACCAUAUAAAUAAUGUUCUUACCAAUUUGUAGCUAAUGCCCUUUCCAUCUCUAUUUCUGUUCUCUAGAUUCCUCCCUAAUAGCUCUUCCUUGAGAAUUUGCCCACGAGAUCCAAAUACUUUACGCUCUUCCCAUAUAGCAACCUGGAGAAUAUAAGUAAGACAUCUUUAUUCUGUAUACUUCUAAUCAUGCUACCAUCAAUCUUCAAGGUCCAAGAUUAAAAAUCAAGAAAAAAGUGGAAAAAGGAGAUAUUGAAAUGCAGUAAUUGCCGGAAGUCACUAAGGGAAGCAAACAUGUCUUGCUUAUUAGAAGGACAGGAUAUUGAAAUGCAGUAAAACCCGCUGAAAAUAGGGUCAGUUGGACUUCAUCCACAUAAUUAGGCUGCUACUGACAGUUCAAUGUUUAGGCUACUAAGAACGCUUAACCACCUUCCCGCCACAUUUUCCAUCCAAGAAUUGUUAGCGAGUCUUAAGCUACAAUGAUUCCCACCAUAAAGCGAGUAACUUCUAACAGUCUAAAAAAGCAGUAUAUAGGUUUCAAUAUCCAAGGAAGAAAAGUAGAAAUAAAGCUAUUUCCAAGGGGGUACUUCUGCAAUUUAGCCUUAAUACAAUACAACGUCAAAAUUAGGUGAACGAAGUAUACAACUGCUAGGCUUAACAUACCAGUCUCUUUACAGUAUUCCUUCCAAACUCGCCCCCAUUAUUGAGCACAUCGUUAAGCGCACCGGGAAGGACUCUCCAAAAUUCACUGAUAAACUCCAUUCCCUUUCGCCUGCUGUUCUGCAAGAUAUCAUUUGCCAAAUAUAGAAAUGAUACUCGCCUAUCCCGGGGAGCACAAUGGAAUUGUCGCUCCCAUGUUUCCACAACUUGCUUAGCUUUAUUCCUAUGGAAGAUACACCAAUGCGACAAAGCUUACAUUUGUUAAGUACGUAACUUCAAUAUUACAUAAUUCCUGGAAUGCCAAACAUAGUAUGACUAAUUUUUGUGCUAGAGAAAAUGGUAAAUCAUAAACAAUAGAAUCAGUUUCUUUCCAAGAUAACCCAUGUGAGAAAUGUAAUUGUUAAAAUAACAUAGGCAAAAUUUUAUGUCUAAAUGACCCUACAGCCUACUAGGUCAGUGACGCAUAAAUGCUGCACCAUCUGGGUGAACAUUGAAAGCUGUUCAUGGUGUGCUUGUGAACACCAUGAAUGCUUUGCAGUAUUCUCAUAAUGGAUUCUUUAAUGAUAAAUAGAAUAUAAAGAAGGAGACUUGAACACGGGCGAACCAUUUGCAGUGUCGAGAACAUUGCAAAUGAUUUGUGGAGUUCAACAUACCCAGCAACAGCACACCUACAUGUCGCCAACGCAACGAGUGAUAGGUUAUUUCAAUAAAUACAGUCAUGUAGACUUUCAAUAACUUCAAUGGCGUUAAAUAGGAAAAAACCCAUUGAAAUCAUGUUAAGAUAUUGGGGGUUAAGUUAGGAAGGUCAUUAGGUCAGAGUUGCUUCCUUUCGGAAUGUAUUUCCCAUCAAGGAACUAGAUGAAGGCCCAGAGAAGUGACUGCCAUGAUUAACUACGGUGAUACAAGUUCAUCACAAGCAUCUUCUAAGACGUCAUCAGAAAAACUAAUGGUAAAUCAUAAGCAUAGUAGAUAUGCCAAGUAUUGGAGGUGAACUUAGACAGAAUAAUAAGAUAAAAUGCCGACAAAUCAAGGUAGCUUCUAAGGAUAAAUUUAUCUAGAAAGUCAGAACCAUUGCAUUGGAAAUGUGCGAUAAUUAAUUGAUAACUACUAAGAAUUUGACUACAGAUCAUGCUUCCAUAAAAGGAUACUCUCUAUACUCUGCUGUGAAUUAUUGAGCUUAGCAAGCUUAUCCACCAAGAUCUGCCCGUUAAAUGACCCGUUCAUUUCUCUUGGUCUAAAUAACCAGAAGCCAGCUGGAAGUAAACCUACCAUGGAAGGAUAUAUAAAAGAAUUGUAAGUUGAAUACUGUCCAAAUCAGUGGCAAAAACAUUGCAAGCGACAAAAGUUAAAAAGAGCCCAAACCUAUAGUAGGUUAAAAACAACAAAAUAACUAUUUACUUGCAUUGAAGAGAUCUUCCAGGCAAAAAAUAAAAAGUUGAGUGAAAAGCAAACAAACACAGCUGAAGAAUAGUUAAAAAAUAUAAACUUUGGCCAAAUGUCGCUUUAGAAGUGGGCAACAGGAAGUGAGCGUCCACGCACAUGGCAUAUUGAGUUUAACUCACGAGCCUCGUGUUACUUUUUGAACGUGAAAUAAUAGCAUGGGGGAAGAAAGCCUACAUAAGCCUUUUGAUAUCACAGUUCAAACUUAUCACAAAAGGGAUUGUGAAGUACAAAACGUUACUCGACUAUCUCUCACUCAAAUGAACUAUUAAUCAUCUGCAUAAUACUCAUACCACCCAUCACUAUUUUUAUAACUACUUAGUGCAUUAUUUAAUGAACAUGGCUCAUAUAGGAUAGGAUUAGCGUGAUAAGAAAUAACAGUAUAAUAACCCCAAAUAAUAUAGAGUUACAAAAAGGUAGAAACAAGCCACCCAAAGACAAAUGCAUGACGAAACUACGGUUAGCAAUUAUAUCUGUACUGGUGAAUCAGCAAAAAAGUAUAAUUUUUAUGUUUCAGGAGCACAAAUUUCACCUAGAUAGUGAAAAUUAGAGGAAAUCCUCAAUUUUCACAAGAGAAAACAACUCAACCCAAUGAGAAGAGCACAAAAAUAUGAUCUUUCAUCUUCCCACCAAAUCGCUCACCCAAAACUCUUAAAAACCGAACCCCUCUUCGAGAAUCCGAGACUAAGCGAUCCCACGAUCUCGAUUACACCAAGCCCCCUACUAAUCAGAACAAGUACAGCAAACAAGAAGAAAAUUUAUGAAUCUGCGAGGAUCUCACCUGCUAAUCCAAGUUGUGGAGCGAGUUCGAUGAAUCCCGAUUCGACUGGCACAUGUUUACACAAUUCCUGCUCGCAUGAAGCUCCCGGGGAGGGAUAAUUAGGGUUUUAUUGGGAUCUUAUUCGUCUUUUACGCCCCUUUUAUUGACGAUUAGGGUUUGGGAGAGGGGAUUUGGGGGGGAUUGGGCUCGGGAGGCUUCGUGCGUCGCCAGAGGGGACGAAGAGGGUUUUUGGUUUUUUCGAUUAUCUUCGUACGCGAGAGAGAGAGAGAAUAUUCCCUGCACCGGGUGUAUAACUACAUCUCAUAGACCACACCCUCUUAAAAUUAAGGUUAUCACUAUUUAAAGCACUCAGAAUCAAAAUCUUAAUAAAGUGAUUAGACAUAUAUUUGGUAACAUCAAAAAAGCUUACUAUUAAAAAUAUAUAAUUUUAAAUAUUUAUUUCUUACAAGUAGAAUAAGAAUCCUUUCUCAAUGUUUUAGAAACUGAUACUACGAAUAAAGUUUAAUUUUAAAAUAGUAAUUAUUAAAAAUUAGAUAUGGUAUAUUAGUUGUGUACAUAUAUCUCAAGAACUCAUGGGUUUGAAAGAUGAAAUGGUUCUUCCUCUUCUUCUUUUUUUUUUUUUGUGUUCUAUAUACUGUAUGAUAUAUACUUUAUACAGUAUGGUUUUUUUUUUUGUAAAUGGACCCCUGGAAAAAUUUUAUUUUAAAACCAGUCCCAACAAAUUUAUAAUUACUAAAAUAUCCCUACUCCUGCCACGUAGGCGCCACGUGGGCGGACUGGGUGUUGGCUUGGCAAGUUGAACACGGUGAAUAAUUCACCGUGUUCAAACACGGUGAAUGGUUCACCGUGUUUCAUAUUUAUAUUCCCUUUCUUCUUCUUUUUAAUAUUUAUAUUUUUCGCAAUACAUAUAUUUUUAAAAAUCCGAAUCCUGACCUGAACCGGGCGGAUUUUAAAAAUCCAUACCCAUAUUCAUACCCGACCAAAAACCUAAAACCCGAACCUGGAUCCGAACCCGGCGGGUUUUAAAAAUCCAUACCAUUGAAUAAAGAUUUAAGGGAUAAAAAUUAUUAAAUAUUAUAUAUAUUGUAUAAAUAAACAAAAAUAAAUUAUAUAUAUAUAUAUAUAUAUAUAAUUUAUUCGGGGUUGGGUUCGGGUUUGGGUUGGGUAAAUACAAAAUUCAUACCUGUAUUUUUAUCCAUCGGGUUUUUAUUUUCUAUACCCAUAAUCGAAUUCAUACUCGUUUAGUUCGGGUAAACACACCCCAUUCGGAUUUGGGUUCGGAUAAUAUUUCGGAUAUUCAUACCCACCGACAUCUCUACUCUCUAUUCCUCUUUUCAAUAUUUAUAUUGCGAAAAAUACAUAUAUUUGUAUUUUUUUAGACACGUAAAUUAUUUACCGUAUUUGGAUACGGUGAAUGGUUCACUGUAUUCAACUUAACAUCCUGGCCCCAGCCCCGCUCGCGUGGCGCUGACGUGGUGUCUGCGUGGCAGGAUCAGGGCCAAAAAUACAAAUAUAAAUUUGCUAGGGCUAUUUUUAAAAUAAAAUUUUCAAGGGGGCUAGAUGCAAAAAUGGCCCACAGCCCAGUAUUUUAAUUUUAUUUUAUUAUAGUAUACAUGUAUUUCUACACUUAUUUAAUAUUUGCUAUUUAAAAAAUUAAAAUGGGCUCAAACAAGGCUUUAUUGAGCUUUGGACUUUAGACCUUAGUCCGGGCUUUGUUUCCAUCAACAAUUUCGGGCCCCGAAUACGCCCGAAGCCUGUUAAAUUGAUUUGAGCCGGGUCUCGGGUUUAGACCGGCCUAACUCGAAUCCGACCCAGUUACUUCCUUACCCAUUUCGGUCGUCGACAUCUUAGCUGUUUGUUUGGUAAAUAAAAUACUCUUGAGUUUCAUUUGCGGCCGAAGCUUGAAAUGAGAUUCAGAACCUCAAAUGUCUUACUUGUUCUGACUUAGAUGCAAAACAAUCUAAUUAAUGUUAGUAGGACACUCAUUCUAUCAGUACGCUUCAAACAGUAUUUUUUGACAAUAGAUUAGAACAUACCAAAUUAUAAAAUUUCUACUUCUGAGGGUCUAACUCUCACUUUCAUUUUCCGCUGCAAGAGAAGCCAAAUGCUAUACUACUACUAGAGACUUCUAUUGUUGAGAACUGAGGCAGAAGCGGGGCCAAACAGGCCCAAAAUCAAAGCUCCAAACUACUACUACUACUACUGCAAUUAUGAAAAUUUAAAAUUAUGCUCAAAAGAUCCAUAUAGCAUUAUUAUUCAAAUGAAAGUUUGUUUUUUUGAGAGAUUAGGUAGCACACUACCCGUUCGUUUAUUUAAUUUAGAAAUAAACUUCAUUUAGAAAUAAACUUAGCUGAAAAUGUGAAUCAAUUAGGAUUCAAACUUGGGAUCUCGGCUAUCAACCGUCAAGCCCUUUGUCAUUGGCCCUAGGAACAGUCGGUCAAAAGAAAGUUUGUUAGACAAUGUUUUGUCUUAGAUCCAAAAUCAUUACAUGUGUUUGUGAUAAAUCAUUAUGUAUGAACUUGAGCAAGCACACAACUCUAGAAUGAUCCCCCGUUCACAAGGACUAGCACUGAAAUAAUGGCACAUCGCGAUUCGUCGACGACCUAACGAUGCGUCACAUGUCGGCAUUCGAUAGGCCGAAUGGAUCGGAUUUUUUUUUUUUUUUUUUUUUUGACCAAUCAAAAUUUUGGUGUGUUUAAGGUUGGUUCCCUUCAGACAAAGGCACCAUUUUUUCUAUUACAAGUCUUCUUCUGAUGGUUACAUCUUCCUUUUCUUCUUUUUUUUUUUUUUCCUUUUACUUUUUUAGUAGAUUAUUUAGCAUGUGGUGUUAUGGAGUUGCUUCAUGGGAAAGGAGACCAUUGGGGUCAUCCCACAUCCUCACUCCAAAGGCAUUGACUAAUGCUUAAUUUAUGAAAUAAAAAAAAAAAAAUCUAAAAGCAUCUCAAAUUUAUUCUCAUUACAAGCACAGAUGAUAAAAAUAUCUAUUCUUCGGAUAUUUGAGGACGGAGUAGAGAGGUUAUAUUUGUAAAUUCGAAAAUUCGAUUUUAACUUUCUUUCGUACUGAUGUUGCUGGAUGGUCCUGAAUUCAAAACUCAUCAAUUUAAUUUUUUAGAUUUUCGGAUAACAAAAAAAAUAUAUAAUAAUUGCAAAAAGCUAUUUGAGAUUCUUCGCAAUUCAGCCAAAUAAAAUAUAAAAAUUUAAGGACUAAAUUGGUGUUUGAUCUAAAUUGUAUAGGUCAAAGAUAAUUUACACCUGAAAUAUGAUAAUUUUUAUUUUUUUCAGUUAGGCUUAGACUAAAACCUAAGCCUUAAUUACUUUCUUUGAGGGGAAAAAAAUCCGAAGAACAACCUAAGCUCAGGGGAUUCAUACAAUUGAUCACUAUUUUUUUAAGGGCCCUUUGAUAUUAAGAGCUCUUAAUAUUAUUGGACCAGAAAAAAUUAGGAUCAAAACAUAUAAAGAUUUAUUUUUAUUUUUUUUUCAAUAAGAUUCCAAUUUUAAUCAAUAACACAAUUUGUUUAGACUUAGUUUGAUAUUGAAGUCUAUCUGACGCUAUUAGAUAAAAUGGAGUUGGAGUAAAAGCAUUAAGUGAUAUAUUUCUACGUUCUCCGAUGGGACCGCACAAAACAUAUCGUAAUUAACUUAUUGCGAUAUGUGAAAAGGAAUAUUACGUAUGAAAACAAACAAAGUAUUUUUUCAUCGUAUUUUCUCAUCGCACGUAACACAACUUCUCUGCAAUUCCAAACGAAGUCUUACUAUGUUAUUAUUUACAAAAAUAAAUAAAAUAUUUUUAUUAUAUUUUUUGAAUGAUAUGUAAUAUAUUUUGUGAAACAAAUUGUGAUAUGAGUAAUCAGAAAAACACUGUGGAGGGCAGUAAAAUCAUUUCACAUUUUCCUUUCCCUGCCUACCAAAUUGGAAACAUCCAGACACAAUUACCAUAAUACCCUCAUGAGACUCCCAAAUGCAAUAAUUCUUAAUAAUCAUUAAAAAAAAAAAAAGAGGAAAAGCUUAUAAUUAUGGUCCUCUUUCUAUGGAAUCUAUCCUUCCAAAAAGCUGGGGCCCAAAUAAUAGAGAGCAAACAUUAUGGUGAGUGGCUCCGGUAAUAACACCUGGGUCAGAGGGCUAUUUAUGUCAUUUCACAGGUGUUGAUGCUAUUAUAUAGUCACCAUGAUGUCAUAGUUCUUCAAAGGGUAUUUUAUUAUUCCUCUACAAUGACUAAAAUACUAUUAUUAUUUUAUAUUAUUUUUAGUGAAUAAAUAUUUUUAAAAAGUCUAAGUAUGAGGUAUGAUAAGAUUGUAGAACAUGCAGCGGAGUCGUUUGGCCUAGAUUCUGAAAAAAUAAUUUCUGUGUAAUUAAUUUUAUUUUGAAGAAUUAAUUUUGAUUAAAAACUAUAAAGCGUUUGACUAAAUUUAGAUAAAAAUAAUUUAUUAAGUAAUUUUGUAAAAUUGUUUGGCAAUUUUUUUUUUGAUAUUUGUAUAUAUUAAUAUUUUCACUAAAUUUUAUAUCAAAAUAAUUAAAAUUUUAAAUUAAAAUUUUUAUAUUUCAAAUUUGUACAAUAUUUAGAAUUUGAUAUUUUAAUUUUAAAAAUAAAUUUGAAUUUUUAAUCUAAAUUUAAAUUUUGAACUAUCAAAUUUAAAAUCUAAAUUUAAAAUCUAAAAUCUAAAAUUUAUAAUUUAUAAUUUAUAAUUUAUAAUUAAAAUUUAAAAAAUUUAAAUUUGAAUUUUUAAAAAUUAAAAUCUUUAAUUUGAAGAUUAAAACUUGUAAUUUUAAAUUUUAAAUUUUUAAAUUUAAAAUUUUAAAAUCUAAAAUAUCAAAAUUUAAAUUUUAAAAGUUAAAAUUUAAAAAUUCAAAUAUAAAAUUUAAUUUAAAAUUUUUAAUCUAAAAUUAAAAUAAAAAUUUGAGGUUUGAGUUUAAAAUCAGAAUCAGAUUUCAAAAAGCAGCUUUUUAUGUUUCUAAUUCUGAUACUUUCAAAAUCAGUUUUUUUUAUUCUGAAAAUUGGAAUCAAAUUUUCUAACACUUGUUGUCAAACGCUUUACUAAGCCCAAAGUUAUUUUUUAGCUCGAAAUUACUUUUCAGAAGCCGGGGCAAACACCCCUGUAUUAUAGAAAUUUUUUGCGCAAGCUGUUAAGGCCAUAGUUGUCAUCCAACAUGGUUAAUUUUUUCUGUCCUAAAGAGUGAUAAUGUGAGUAACACACAAUUAACUUUGUUCUGCUUCACUGAUCGUCCCUAAAGCAAGUGGCAAAGGGCUUGGUGGUUGGUACCCGAGACCCAAGUUUGAAUCAUAGUUGAUUCAUAUUUCCAGCUAAGUUUAUUUUUAAAUGAAAUAAACCAAGCGGGUAACGUGCUGUCUAUCUCUCAAAAAAAAAGAAUAACACCCAAGAAUAAAUCUAGUUCACAAACCUUUAAACCCAACCCAAAUAUAAGAAAACCUGGAUUGGGCAUUUUGGUUAAGCAUAGAUGUUAUAUCAAGCUCAAAAAAAAAAAAAAAAAAAAAAAAAAAAAUCAUCGCAACUUACAUACCUUGUUAGUCAAUUGAUGAUUACAUGCUCCAGAAUGAGUUAGAUUGUUCAAAAUGGCCGACAGCGAUAGUACAAUUACAAUGCAUGGGAUUAUAGCUGGAGAAAUUGUUCUCAUCUUUUUUUCGCCGCGAAAUCCAGUUAUUGCCUCCAUAAAACUGUUCACACUUACAUUACUUAUAACCAAGGUCAACUUCGGUUGAUUAAGUAGAAUGUUACACGUUAGGAACACUUUGAUCUUUCAUUAGCUGCUCCUGAAGGAAAAGGAGGAGGGAAUAUACAUUUGCAAUUCCUUGGCUUCUUUUUCGGUUUCUCUUUAUCGCAGCUUCGCUCUAACCUACCACUAAAGUGGGUUGAUAAAUCUCGAGAUCGAAUAAAUAACUGCAGGCCUGCGAACGAUCAAGGGUGCUUUUCUUUUUAAUCGGCCGCUGUACUUGCGAAAGCUUUCUCGCUUUAAAAUAUUCCGAAACAAGUAAAGCAGAUUCUGGGAUGCUCAAGAGGGGCAGUAGGUGAGCGCCUGCCACAAGUCAUUUGAGCAAAGAUGCUCAUCAAUAAUUUCUAAAGAGAUCAUCAAAGUCCGUCGACGCAGAAAUUUCAAAAGCAUACGAUUAAAGGAAGCGACAAUAUGGCCCAAGGAAUCAGCUAAUGUACUAGUAACAUGCCCCACUCCAAUAAUUUCUUUUUAGGUGCCACUUGAAUCACAUGAAGGUAACAAUGCUAAUCGAUGUAAUUAUACGCACGCACCGCGUCACGUUUUGGCCAACAAAAAACAGAAAAAUUGAUGCAUGAAGAAUUUNACCUUUCUCUCUAAAAAAAAAAAAAAAAAAAAAAACUAAUUCAAAGUAAGAGAAACUUCAAAAGAUAGAAAAUGAUAUUUACAACCAAAUUAUGAUUGUCAGCAAACUAAAUUGAUCAAAGCUACUUGUAUUUAGAAUGGUUAAUAUAUGCCAAUUUUAAUAUAAAAUAAUAAUGUUGGGCCUACAGUCUAUAUUUGGUUGUAAUCUUACAAUCUUACUCAUCCAGAGACUCCUUUUUUUCUCUACUUAUCAAUUGUCAUAUCAAUUUUUUUUUAAGUAAAACCCAGAAAGGGAUAAUAAAAUCUUACAAGUUCUUAGAUGAGGAGCUGCAGAGAUCACAAACCCUUUGACAAUAGACAAUUUUUUUAUUUAUUUUUUUUGAAGAUUUUUCGUUUUUACUUUGCUCAACUUUUUGUCCACUUUUUUUUUCUGUUUUUUUUUUUUUUUUUUUUUUUUUUUUUUUUUUUUUUUUUUUUUUUUUUUUUUANACAUACUAGGGACCACAAAUCGUCUACUCCGAACAGCUGUCGAGACCUCUCACAGUCCUGUUCAGGCUCAGCACAACCGCGCUUUAUUUGCAUUUUGUCUGAGUCGCCCCUGCGCUCUCGUCCUGAAUCGAAACCUUUAGACGUUUAAUGUCUAAAGACGAACAACAUGGCCAUGUUGGUAGUUCCACAUGGCCAUGCAUGGCCAUGUUGGUAGUUCCGCAUGGCCAUGUGAAAAACAUGGCCAUGUUGGUCGUCCCGCAUGGCCAUUGAAGCGGUCUAAAACGCGUCGACGAGAGCCCAACGGUAAACAUGGCCAUGUUUAUGUGGUCCCAUCCAUUCCCCACAAAACCAUUAAAGAAUGGAAUUUGCACAGUGGGAGAGAGGGUGAGGAAGAAUAUGCACAUCUCCUCGAUUCCUUCCGAAGAACGUACGAAGAAGAGGAGAGAGAGAUCUGAGUUGACAAUCGUUCCUCCUCGAGCCCACCUCAACCUAGCUGCGGCUGCAGCGCGGCGCCACGGCAAGCUCGCACGGAAGCAGCAGCAUCGUAGCGCUCUCCGGCUCGCUCCCACGCUAAGGCGGCAAGAGCUGCAGCGCGGCCUAAUCCUAAUCGAAAACUCCACCCAAAUAGUAGCCUAAAGAUGAGGAUUUCAGAGCCAAUUGCCGUACAUAUAAAACACAUUAUCGAGCUUAAACACCUAAAAAACACAGAAACUGUAGAUUUGACUUAAACCUCGUAUCAUAAUAAACACCUAUUUAAUAUGUACAACCUGAACUUAAACUGAAUCCUCUUUUAGGCGCUUAUAUUGGACAGUAUACGAAUUUGAUGGUCUAAAUCGAGAUCCUCGGCACCAAACUAACAUAGUAGCGUCAAAGUCUCACCAUCUAUGGGGUCUAUCAAAUCUAAAGACAAUGCGAGCACGACCCUACGGCUCACGUAAAAAUGUCAUCGUAAGUCUGACAAAGCCUGACAAACCACGGCAGCCUCAACUGCCACUUGGGUCAAACGACAAAACCGUAGUCUAACACGGCUCCCGUACACUGAACAACCAACAAUCUGGUCAACCUGGGACAAAUGAACUGAUAUCGAACACUCUCGGACUAACUCGAGCUGUCUCUAUGCGAACGUAUGAGCCAACCCAUCGCGGGUGCUCACGGUGAGAUCUUAGCCCGAAUCACAAAGACGCAACUACAGCUCCAUAGGACAAACCUGAACGAUAGGUGACUGACGAAUCACACCUCCAUCGAAAUCGAAGCUGUCCGCCCUACCCACACAAAUGUCAGGGACCCUGCCCAUACGAAUAUCAGGGAUCACUCUAAACCAGUCCUAACUGUAAAAGAUGUCUAACAAUCACAGUCUCGUACUAUCAUAACACCAAAAAUCGACAUCUAAACAAGGUCGUAAUGAAUGAUAGGGUCGAGGGAAGACAUCUGAAUCACCCACUUGGCUACUACAACUCCUGCCGUGGGUGACUCCUGAUGAAUAAAAAUGUCAUCAAGAGUGCGGGUCAACAAUGGGAUAAAAACGUCUCGGGCAACAAGGCUGACAACGAAGGAGGCUCUGACUAGCACCGUUACGGCAACAGUCAAUCUCGGGAAGGGUCAAUGACGACAAGCACUCCAAUGGUCGACGUCCAUCACGAUCAAAAUUCAAAGAAUAUGUAUGUCCAACAUAGAGCGACCCGCUCGAAAACACAUAGACUUGUAUACAUACAUAAACCUUGAACAAGGACAGAUAUGAUCAAAAUAAGCUUAUCGAGAUAUGAUGACAAACAUCAUAAUAUACAAAAUGUCCAUGUCGAUCGCGAAGCAUAUGUCCUUUUUAAGAAAACAUAUACCGCCUAAACAGCCGCACGGGCCCCUUGCACGUUAGGCCCCGCACUGUCUAAAUUCAACCAUAGUCUCGAAACGUAAUCCAGCAACCCUGGAUCCUUUGGAUUCAACCGUUUGGAGUUCUUCCGUUCUGCGCUCUCCGCACUAAAUAGCGCUUUCAGUGACUAACUAAUAAGAUUGAGGAGGACCUCGCCUCCCUCACUAACUUCCUCAAAGACAAAGCCAGGUCUUUUUAAUACAACCGACGUCUGCUGUAUUAAAAUUCCUCUUUGUCCCUGGCGAAAGAUCUGAAAGCAAAUUAACCCAGCUCUCACAAACACAAAAUAAAUUGGAAGGAAAGCAAAGAACCGUCGACAUAUAGCUGCAGCACCAGCUGGCAGCAACGCCCUCGCACGUGUCAGCUGCGCCCUCGUACGGCAUGGGGGACUCUACGGACUCGUCCAUCUCGGCUCACGUGUUGGCCUCCGCUCACGUGGGGGACUAGACUCUCUCGUCAACCGACGGAACUGACUCCACUGGUUCGUUGUCCCCCUCAACAAUGUCUCCGACACACUCUCCUAUCGAGGUGGCGUCUCAUGUCGUGGACUCGUCGGUCAAGGUAGAGGCUGAUGAGAUCACUGUCGUGGUCGACGUCGUCAUGGAGGUGGUCGCCGUCAAGGGGGUCGCGGCCAAUGUAGAGAAUCACUCCGAGGCGUCUACUGGUUCCGACUCGUCCUCGCCUACCGACUCUCUGAGCAGGCGAAAGUAGCAAAACUAGGUGGCUGGAAACUACCGUCUACAAGUGUCCGGACCCAACAACUCCUGACCCAGUCGCGCUACCUCUUUGACAAACUCUUAAACAAAUAAGGACUCGCCCUCGUCCAUGUGGACCCUCAAGUGACGAACUGUCCUCUACAUGAACGUACCACCUCCUCUCACUCUGCUCUGAUAUCCAACCACUGGAACGUCUACUCUACCCUAAUCAAGACGCCGUACGAUAUACCCUACAUAAAGAGGUUGUCACAUUUCGUCUUUGAGUUCCUCCUAAACUUCUCCGAAGUCGUCCCUUUCGCUGGUCAAGUCCUCAUGUAGGCAUUCAAAUGAGCUGAGGACUUAACACAAGGUAAACACGGGUCCCUGCUCCGCGUGUCUCAAAUGGACAAGCUCGCUCCAAACUCUAGCCUCUAGAAGGCCAACCAAGUCCGCGUCUCCAACUCCUGGAACCUACGUAGCUACCUCGUCCGAGAAACCCAUUUCUCCCCACUACGUAGGUAAGCCUUCUCCUGAGUCCGUCACCCCGUCUCAGUCCUAUCCUUCGCGGGGAAAGGCCUACUACCUCCUGUCAGCUCAUCGUCUGCAGACGGCUCCGGAGGUGCUAGUGCGAGAGUCCCAGCACCCAGAAGCCCCGUAGUCGCUAGACCCCCUAGGCCAGUCGUCCCUGUCGGUGGCUCCUGUGGCGUCACACACUAGACGCCCCCUGGGGUGACCGGGGCCGUCACGCUCGUCUCUCUCCCGUCCACAAUAUCAACGCCAGUCGUUUUUCAUAUAUAUAUAUAUAUAUAUAUAUAUAUAUAUACACAUAUAUAGAAGCAAAAUGGGAGUUGGGUUUUGCUUAUCUAGCUCAGUUUUAGCCUCAACUCCUAACUAAAAUUUGUGUUCUUUGAGGUGGAUUUGUUAAUGCUUUUGAAAUCUUCAUCAACCUCGGGAAUGGAGAGGCCACAAUUUGUGCGGCAUCAUGGAGUGCUGAGGCUACCCCCUGGGUUCAGGUUCCACCCUACUGAUGAGGAGCUUCUCGUCCAAUACCUUAGAAGGUCUUUUCAUUCCCUCUCCCCGCCGCCGUCAUUCCCGAGAUCAAUCUCGAAAACCACGACCCUUGGGAUCUGCCCGGUCCGUAUUAUUACUAUUUUUUUUAUUAAUUUUCAUUUCAUUGCGUAUUGACUUAAAGUAUCACUCGUUUACGUACUUACGUGCGUACUUAGGCGGCGGAGAUGAGGCGGAGGAGGAGGAGAGGUACUUUUUUAAUCUGAGACAAUCGAAUUGCGCGAAAAAGGGCAACCGGUCGGCCCGGCCGACGAGGUCCGGCUACUGGAAGGCCACGGGGAAGGACCGACUGGUUGUCGCCGCCUCCCGGCCCGACCGGACGGUGGGGACGAAGCGGGCUUUCGCCUUCUACCUCGGGAAGCCCCGCCGCGGCUCCCGGACUGAUUGGUUCAUGCACGAGUACAGCCUCUCCGCCGACGAAAUUCGAGCCUUUACCAUGUGCCAUGCAAAGAAUGCAACCCUCCAUAAUAUUGUGAGAUUUUCCAAUCUUAAUUGAUCUCCUUGUUUAUUUAUUGCUCUAAGAUUAAAAAAGGGAAAGGAAACAAUAUUAAUUUGGUGCAAGAUGAUAAAACUUCUAUUGAUUGCUUACUAAGAACUACUCUUGGUUGUGUAGAGUUCAAUGUUUGAGAUCAAAGAUUGGGUGGUUUGCCGCAUUUUUAAGAAGAACCGAGCGACGAAGUUCGACGCGGGGAUCAAGCGUCGGAGUACUGAAUUUGCCCGUUUUGUUACGCGGCAGAGCAAUAAUCAACAGCCGAAUUCGCCGUUAUCGUCGUCGUCGUCGUCGUCGAGCUGUGUCACCGAUCUUUCGGAUAAUGGAGAGGAAAAUAGCAGCUGCAAUAUAGAUUCCUCCCCUAGAGAGGAUUAAACUUGUACUCCUUGUUCCUUUUUUUUGGUGCUUCUUCCUCCCCCGUCCCUUGUGUACCAAAAGUUUCAAUCUAGUAAAGUUGGGCUCGAGCAAACCUUUACUCAAAAGGUUUCAAUUUGAGAGAAAUUAAGAUGAAUUACAAAUUAAAUGGCUGUAACUAGUAACUACUCACUCAAAAGUUUGUACACAAAGCAUAAAAGAGGAGAGAAUGGAAAGUGAGGGGAUAAACUUAGAUGGUUUUUGUUGUCCUUUUAGGAUCAUCCAAUGCACUAAGAAAGAGAAAGAAUUGAAAAAUAACAAAAAAAAGAAAAAGAAAAAGAGAAAAGAAAAAAUAGCAAGAAAAGAUAGCAAGAAAAGAUAAGGCAUUUAUAUCCAUGUGGUGUGAGAAGGAGAUGCCAAUUAGAGAGAGAGAGAGAGAGAGAGAGAGAGAGAGAGAGAGGGGAAUCCAUCAAAAGAAUAAGAGCUUUGGCUGAGAAAGUUUGAUUAGGGGCUUUUAUGGGGCCCCUGAAAAAUACAUAUCCCAGACAAGAGAAUCUAUCCCCAGAUUUUGCCUUGAAUUUGAGGAUGUGAGGAUCACAUCAGAAAAAAAUGACUUGUUUUGUAGCACUGCAUUGUUCAUUAGUCUCUGAGUUUGAAGUUACUGACCAAGUCCUUUUUUGGACCACCAUGUUAGGCAAUGAUGCUGUAGUGACUUAACACCAACUAUGGUUGUGUCCCUAAUUAGUAAUUUACUAUAGAAACUGUAAGACCAAAGUUUCUGAUGCCAAAUUAAAGAAUAAAAAAAUUGCGUACUAAGUACAGCGAUAAAAGUACGGCGCAUCGAUCAUAGGAGAGAUUAAAAAAAGAAAAAAAUGAAUCAAUUAUUGUAGCUGGUUUGAUUAAGAAAGCGCGAUGGAGGUACCACUGUAUGCAAGAUCUAGCCCACUAACAAGGGGAUAAAAGAGAAGGAACCAAAUGCAAUUAUUGAAGGGAGCAUAGAAUUCGCGAAUUCAACGAAGUCGAUGUAAGAGUUAGCGUAACGAUAGCUACCACCAAUGAAAAUCAUCUUUCUGUCAAUUAUUAGUUCCUAAUUUUAGGGUCAUAUGUAUCCUCCAAGAUUCACAACUACAGCAAAUUCCUAUGCUAGGUGCACAUUUCAUGCCAAGUCAUAGCUUUUCCUUGGUGUGUAGAUUGACUAAGUGGUUAUAUGACACCCUAAUGAAUGAAACGGAGAGGGACGCGCGCGUUGCUGUGCGUACUGGUAAUAGUAGUAUUACAGCUGAAAAUUUUGAAUUUUGAUCGAAGUAUUUAGCGUUCAAAGUUACAUUCCCUCUUAUAUAUUGUCCGCAUUUUUUUCGUUGAAAACACAUGCAGCAGACACUUGAUUAAUUUUUUGCAUGCCAGCUUUAAUUUGGCCGUAUAUUCGAUCAACAAGUAUGGUUUUCAAUAUUAACUCUCGUGCAUUUUUCAAAGGGAAUAUAUGCAUGGUAGUGUGUAUGAAUUCGAAAUAUUAACUCUAGUGGUGGUCAAAUAUAGAGUCCGGCUGCGAUAAUAUCGAUAGCAUCAAGAAUUUAAUGCUAUCGAGUUUUUCACCGUUAAAUUUAAUUUUUUAAUUAUUUUUAUCCGUUAGAUUAUACUAUUUAACCAACCACUCACUCAACCCUAGAAAGCCCACAUCAUUCUAACAACACAUUUCUCAAUCAAAGAACUAAAAAACUAAUAGCACAAAUAGUUUGGUGCUAUUGAUAGUUUUCCAACCUAGUUCGUCAAAUAUAUAUGUAGAUUUAACUAAUCAACUUUGUUAAUUAUAUGUGUGUGUGUGUGUGUGUCAUGGGACCAUGCAUGCAACUAAAGAUGCGAGAGUUUCACUUAAUUAAGGGCGUUUGGAUUGACGAAUCUGUAGAUCCAACGUAAGUCAAGUAUAGUGGUGUUUGAGUUUCCAUGAAGUGUGAUUAUUUUUUUGUUAUUUGUUUUGACGUAACUCGUACAAUCUGAAAAUUAAAUUCAAUUAUUUUUUCUGUUUAUUUUGAUGUAACUUGGUGCUGGUAAAAUUAAUUUUUUUAUUUUUAUUGUUUGUUUUGAUAUAAGUUAGUGGAUCUCGUUAUCUCCUAAAUAUAGUGGUAAAUUUACCGCUAUAAAAUUUAACCUAUUAUAAAAUUAAAAUUUUUAUUAUUAUUUAAAGAUAAUUCUAAUUUAUUAUAAAUAAGGUAAUUCUAUCUCACUAUAAAGGGAGUAAAGUUUAUGUUUUACUAUUUAAUAAAUUUUUUAGAGGAGGCCGAGUGUGGCGGAAGUCAAGUUCGGCAUUUUAGGAAAAAAAAAUCAAGAAUAGAUGAGGUGAAGGUCUAAUGUAACUUAAGUUACAUUAUAUUUUUCACUUACACCAAAAUAAAAAACGAAAGCGAUGAAACUUGAGUUCCAUUACUCUACUUACACCAAAACAAAUGGACCCAGGGCACAAUCUCUACUUCCUUUUCCAUGAUCGGUUAAAAGAAGGCCCACUUUGCACCCCUUUUUCUCUGCCUCACCUUCAAAAGUCCAUGCAUUAUUGGAUCUCUGACUUGGUUUCCUUUGAAGCCAAUUUCAUGGAAUUAAUGUAAUCCCACCUUUUUCUAAUGAAAACUUUUAAUUCCUGUUUCCUUUCUCAGGGUUUGGAGCCACUUACUCCCAACUACCACGUGAUUAAGGAACUUGAGCAAAUGAAAGUACGUAGCAAGAAAAUCAUUAUAACAGUAAUUACGGAAUCCGCCGAAAGAAACAUGUAGCUAGGGUGUUAAUGGGUCAGAUUUGCGUAGGAUCUCUGUAUCUAAAUAAUCAGUAAGCUACUCCGUACAUCGUACAUCGGAUGUACGUGUUUUGAAAUUUCUAGAUCAAAUCAUAACUUAUAUUUCAUUUUUGAUUACGUGUAGUGAAAUUCUCACUCAUCUUCACCUGGAGACAUAGGCUUUAAUUGUUGAGUCCAUUAACAUCCUAUGAAAUUAAAUAUCUUUGUUUGAAAAACAUAUGUGUAUUAUUAUGGGAUCGAGUUGGGCUUGAUCAUGGAGGUGGGUGGGGCACCAUGGGGACUUGAAUGUUCGAGUAAUGUUGGGAACACUUCAUGUGAGCACCACAUGCAGGUUCAUAACUAGGGGGAGUCCUUUUGCAUGCACAAAUCCAACAUAAAAAGGAAUAGGUUGAGUAGAAGAAGGGAUUUCCCCUUGUACUAACCCACAAGCCAAAAGUUCCUUUGUUGAUUGGUCCCAGUGCUUGAGAAGGAAUCCAAUAACACUACUGUUGUACUGUUGGAGGAGGCUGCAAACUUUUGAAUAGAUUUGAGUCAGCAAAGAGACACAAAGAUUGCAAACAAAAGCAAUUUGCUUUGAUCGAGAAAAGCUUUUUGGGCCAUUUUGCAGUGUCUUCAAAAGCAUUGCAGGGACUUGAUUAAUUAGUAGCUAACCUUACCACCCCAUGAAGCCAUCCAAAGUGUUUCCAUAUAAAUUCUCACAUUAAUUGCAACAUUGGCCAUCCGACUUUCCGCGAGUUUCACUUUCGCUCAAGGACGGCUAACUUGGACAUUCGACAUUCUGAAUUUUUGAAAGCGCUUUUUUUUUCACUCCGGUCACUUUCUUUAUUUACCGGUAGGGGAGUAGGUAGGCCCAGGAAUCUAUUGCCAACUCUUUCAGCGCGUUUGUUCAUCCGCGAAGCAUGAAUUUAUCAUUCGUGAGUUCUAUCUCGUAUUUCUGAGCCACACCGGACGUACACUAACCUACGGCCUUUUCUUCGCUGGCUAUUAUUGGAUUCCUACGUAGGAAAAAGCAAGGCAAUGGUAAUUUCAUACUGAAAUAUGGCAAGCGUAUCUCCUUCUGUUAGAAAAUCAGAUUAGGGAGAUGCCAGCAGCACUGCCAACAUCCAUAUGCUCUAGACAACGAUCUAUAUACCUAUACAUUAUUCUCCAAAACAAAAGCCACGUGGCGGAGUUUUCUUCCUUCAGCGAAACCAUCUCUUUGCCUUUCCUUCACCUAUAACGUCUAAUUAAUAAUCCACUAACCUAUCCACUGACCUUAACCCAACCCUUCAUCUUUUCUAUACACAUAACGUCGACUUCUCUCCACCUAUAACAUCUAAUUAAUAGUUCGCUCACCUUAGUCCAACCCUUCACCUUUCCUACAAACAUAACGUCUAAUUAAUGAUUCACCUACUUUAAUCCUAAUCUAAACAGUAAAUUUUUUCUUCUUCUCUACUUUCUUUUCCUCCUCCAUGAGCUCCGAAGCUAAGAUCAAGCACAUUAUGUGGAUAGAGUAUAAGUUUGCACGCUGCAUCGCCGAGCUUAGCGUUGUCAUCUUCAUCAAAUCGAGCUUUCCUUCAAAUUUUAGGAGUUAUUUUAAAAGAUUUAUGUAUUCUUUAUGUUGUAUUGUUGAAAUUUCUUAGAUAGUUUUAUUCAGUUUUUUUAUAUUUUUUUUAUUUGCAUGGUAUUCAAACUAAUGUGUUUAUUAUGUUAAAGAUUUAUUGUUUUUUUCUUUUUCUAUCCUUUUUUUUUAUAUUUUUUUUUGCGAAAGUAAAGUUCUGUAUUAUAUUUAUUGUAUUUGGUUGUGUUAGGUUGUAUAUCUUUUUGUCUCUUAAAAAUUUAUUAUAUAAUUUUUCAUAUGCUUACUUUGUUUCUACUUUCAUGACUCUUUUUAUUAACUGAUAUAAGAUGUUUAUAAAAUUAGAUUGAUAUAUGAUCUAAAAAGGUCUUUAUUUUCUUGAAGGGAUAAGUAUCUUAGCUUAUAUAGAAAAUGAGGGAAUAAAAAUAUAACUUAUACAAAAAAAGUUUAACUCUUUGAUUGUUUUGAUUUAUAAAAUAUUAAUUUUUAUUAGAUUUUUUAUCUAAAUCUCUCCCAAAUAAUAUGUCAUUUUUCGUCUCAAUAGGUUAUCAUACUUAUUAUCUUUCUAUGAAUAUUUUGUUACUAAUCAACUUUAGCAAAUUAAUAAACUUUUNAUUAUCUUUCUAUGAAUAUUUUGUUACUAAUCAACUUUAGCAAAUUAAUAAACUUUUGCAAGAAGCCAAUAUGUUUCGGCCAUUUUGAUUUUUAAAAUAAUAAUAAAUUUUUGAUAUAUUAGUUAGACACUAAAUUUAUUUUAAUAGUAUUUAUCCGUCGCAAUACACGAGUUACUACACUAAUAGAGCAAAAAUUUAGUAGGGACCGUUCCAAAAGUGAGAUCAUUAGAUCCACCGUUUGUAUUGCUUCGAAAGACUGAAAAUGGAUGCGGAAAAGUGGAAGGCCCAGUAGGUCAGCCCAGCCUAUUUUGUUUGUGCCGUAAAUGGGCGUUAAAAGCUGAUUUCAUAAGUCUAUCUAGGCUUCGUUUAAGAUUGCCGGAAGAUUGCGUUACGUACGGUUAGAAAGUAUAUUAGAAAAAUAUUCUAUUUUUUUCCGUACGUAAUAUUGUGUUCCGCAUAUCGCAAUGAGUCGGUUACGAUAUAUUUUCUGCGUCCCACAGAAGCAUAUCCCCAUAUGUUGGUGAAAACAGCCUUGGUGUGGGCCCCACCUGUCAGGCUUGACCUAAUAAAUUAUAAAUAAAAACCCCAACGGUCAACACCAGGUUAACUAUAGGGGAUAAUGUCGAACAACUAAUUCCAAGCUAGCAAGCUAUUCUCGCGCGGCUUAUUCCCCCGCUAUUCUUGCUCCCUUUUUAUAUUCCCCCAUUCCACCAACGGUCGCUGCACUAUUUUCGAUGGACCGUGUUCACCACGUCGUCCAUAAAUGGAAGAGUCCUCUUCUCGCCAACUGAAAGUCUACACCGUGCGGUUUACGGAUGACGUGGUGAACCACGCUCGGGGAAUUUUGUUGGGCAAACGGGCGGUCAAGAUUCCACGAAGCCCAGCUCAUCCCUCCCGCGACGAGACGCCACGUGUCCGCAACCUCCUCGCGCACUUCCCCCUCCCAAAAAUGGCGAAGGGGCGACCGCGAAACCCUCUCGUCCCCUCCCAUCCCUCCAAAACCCUAACCCUAAUCCCUUCAAAAUCCCGUCCCCCUCCUACCCCGAUCGCCCUCCCCGUCCCCGAUCUCGAUCGCAAGCGUAGUUGUGGUAGCAGGGGUAGUUGCUCACCUCUUUCUUCGUUAGAUCGCGGAGCGCUGGGGGAUGGGGUGCGGGGCGUCGAAGCUGGAGGCGGAGGAUGAGCUCCCGCCGGGGCUGCGGCCGAUCCGGCGCAAGAUCGAGGAGGUGAAGCGGCGGCGGCGGCGGUCGAGGUACAGCAUCGUCUCCACCACCGAGCUCCUCUGCCCCGAGGACGACCGCGACGGCCCCGCUGCUGAUGCUGAGGGUUCGUCGCGGAAGGUGAAGGCCUCGGCGGUGGCGCCGGAGCCAGAGAUCCCGGAGGAGGAGGAGGUGGAGGAGGUGGUGGAGGAGAAGCCGAAGUUUGAGGCGGCGGCGGCGGCAACAGCUGCGGAGGAGAAGGAAGAGGAGGCGAGGAAGGUGGGGAAGGGUACGAGGGUUGAGGGGGCGGAGGACGAGGAAGAGGUGGAGGGGGAGAUGCUGGGGUCGCCGAGUUUUAGGUUCUACUUCGUCGACGCGGUUCGCGACUCCGACGACGACUCAGUGAAGUUGGCCGGGUUCCAGGGGAAAGGUAUAACCAAAUCUUAGAAUACAAUGUUCGGCUCUGAAGGAAGAAGCUAUAAUUUGAAACUUACGCUUCUGAUGCAGCGAGAAGCUGCUGAGAAGCUCGUUUAGCUUCUCGCCAUCGAACUUUUUGCUACCGUGCAGCAGCCAUAGCUUAUCUUCUGUUACUUCACCGGUUUCUCCUUGCAUUAGUAGUUUCUAACCACGUAGCUUAAUCGCGAAGCAGAGAAACUCGAAGAAAUCAAGGAGAAGGACCAUGAAAGGGAGGAAGCCGCCGAGUCGGUUAACCCGAAUGAGGUACAUCACAAUGAACUUUCUACAUAACAGGAUGCUUCAAAACUAUUUUUUGAAUGCAGCUCUUCGAAGUCAUGUGCUUCAUUCACUCAAUAUCGUAACAAAUUUUAUAAUUCAUAUGUUUGCUAUUCGAAUUUAACUUAGCGACAGAAACAUAUAACUUCAUUAGGCUUCGCAUUUUGGAAAUUUCUUUUCUUCGUACUUUUGCGGGGGUGGUUAGCAAAAUUCAAAUGGUUAAGUUAAUUAUUGGUCAUGAAUCAUUGUUUUUUUUUUUUUUUUUUUAAAAAGAAGUUACUUUCAAAAUCCUUCAUUUAUGGUUUGUGCUCUAGCUGAUCUCAUACUGUUAAGACAAAAGAAUAGAGAGUAUUAAUGAGACAUCAACUGUAAAAUUUGCUCUACUUAACAGCAGGAUUCAGAAUCCAAACAAGUGAAGAAGGAGAAGCCGAAGAAACUUCGGGCCCUGACGAAGGCACCAAGCGCGGUUCGUAACUUGUUUAACGUCCGUAACUGCUACAGCAACCCAUCCUCUGACACAAACAAUGUAAACCACCCUCGCCUCUUAACCGGCACUUCGGCGUAGGGAAGCUAAUGCGGCUUCUUUAGUUUCCAAAAUGUGACUGAAAGAUUGAUUUCUUGUUAUGUCUGCUCUGUAUCCUGUUUGUUUUGGUUGUCGUAUGUUGUUAAACUAAUCUAAAUUCGCGUAAGCUGCAAAUGUUGUGAGAGCAGGACCAUGGUUUAUUAGGGUUCCUCUCUUUCAAGAACUCUUGUAAUUGAAAUCCACAUAUUAUACCAUAUUCUUUGUUUCACAGAUUGUUUUGUUCAAAAUUACGGUUUGAGUCAUUAAGCUUCAAAUUCUGUUCCAAAUUGGAUUGCUUUUACAUCCAAAAAGUUAUUUGGAGAUGAUGUGAUAUUUAAAUCAACUCCUAUCCCAUCUUAAAAGAAUAUAAAGAUCGAUGACGUGAUCAUUCGUAGGAAAUGACAUAACAAUUGAAUUAGCAAUGUGACAGCUGAAUUAACUUUCAAAUCAUUCGUUCACGAAAACUAUAAUACGCAGCUCAAUGAAUCGAAUUAGUUCAGUGAUUCAAAUGCAAUCAAGCUGAAGUUUCAUAAUUUGAUUUAAAAUAUGUUUCAUUUUUGGGCUUUAAAGCUCAAGUUGUUCUUGUUUACAUGUGAUAAGAGUGAUGUGAUAUUAACAAGGGUGGUGGUUGUGCAUAUGUUAUAUAUACAAGCUCUCCUACAAUAUCAUAUCAUAUGUUAUAUAUAUAUACAACUCUUGGUGCUAUGAGUAGUCAUCAACCUCUAACUUAUCCAUCUAUACUUUUCAUUUAUUUAUCUAUUUAUUUAUUUAUUUUAUCUUUUGAAUUAUUAUAAUAACUAAACCAUCCUUGUCACAUGCAAAAGUGUUCUUCUGCACACUUCACCUCUUUUUUACCUGUACUUCCCAUAACCUCUUGCCUAGGGGUGUCAUCGGGCGGAACACAAGCUUGGCUCAUAAAGUAUCGAGCUGAAAAAUUCGGCUCGUGUUCGACUCGUUAAUAAACAGCUGAACACGAGCUGGCUUACGAGCUGGUCAAUAAACAAUAAGUUAAAAGAAUUAAAUUAAAUAUAUAUAAAAUUAAAUUUAUAAAGUGUUACUAUUAGACUUUGAUCAAAUAAUUGAAACUUUACAUAUAAAUGAGUUUUUUUUUUAAUAAUUCAGCAAAAUUUAAAAUAAUAAAAUAUAUAUUUAUAGAUAUAAUUAUUUAUAUAUAUAUAUAUAUAUAUAUUAAAUAAGUUAUAUAAAUAUAAAAUAUAUGUAUUCGAGUUGUUAUCGAGCCGAACAUGAACGAGCUGACCCAGCUUGUGUUCGGCUCGUUUAUUUAACGAGUUGAAAAAUUUAGCUCACGUUCGGCUCGUUUAUCAAACGAGCGAUUCGAUCUCGAGCUCAUUUCGAGCCGAACACGAGCUGGCUCGCGAACAGCGAGCUGGACUGCCACCCUACUCUUGCCCAUUUCCUCAGUUUUUUAUUUUUUUUUUUAAUUUUUUUUAUUUUUGCUGGGUCACUGUGGGGCAAGGGUAAAAUUGCAUUACUUGUCCCUAAACUUUACUCCAAUUUUAUUUUAAAAGUUUUUAGAAGUUGUUUGAAUAGAGUUAUUCAAAAUAGCACCAUUAAUUCAAAAUAACACUAUUAAUUUAUUUUAUUAUAAUCUUAUUUACAACUUGUUGCUCUGGCAUGAGAAGAAACUUUAAUUUAGAGCUUUAGUUCGGAAACUCAAAUGCUUUUUUUUUUUUUAAGACAAAAACAAUGGGAUUUAGCUUUUCAUUGUAGAAAAUUUUUUAUAGUUUCCUUCGCUCUGGGCUAGAUAAUCUGAAAUCAAACCCUAUUUCAGGAAAAAAAAGAAAAAGAAAAAGUAUACAUGUCUGUAACCUGCAAACAUCUUCAACAAUCCCUCAAAAAAAAAGAAAAAUAGUACAAGAUAAUUUGAAACAAAUAUCCCAAUGGCUCCAUUUUAAACUAUUCUUUACUUCAUUACUAGUGUAGGUACCCGCGCGUUGCAGUAGAUAAAUUUCGUAGAAAAUAAUAAUAAAAAAGUCAAAGAGUAAAAAGAAUACAAAUAAAAGAAACUUAAAAAGAAGCAGCAGCUGCUACAAAUUUCUAUGUAUAAUAGCAGUAAAAGUUGUAGAUUAAAAUAUUAUAUGCCUUAUAGUCAGAGUCAAAAAUUGCAAAUAAUUAAAGUUUGAGAACUAAAGCAUCACGUGCCUCAUAGUUUAAGUAAGAAAAAUAUAACACAUUAAAAUUCGAGAAUUAAAAUGUCACAUGUCUUAUAGUUUGGAAUCAAAAACAUAAUUUAUUUUUUUAUAUUUUAAUUCUAUUUCAAACGAAGACAAAACUCUAUAAGAUAUGUUAAAUUAUUUAAUAAUUUUUUCAAAAGAUUUUAAAUGUAAAAUUAAUCGCUUAUCAAAUUAUGAAUAUUGCAUUGAAGUUUGAUAUAAAAAUCAAAGUAAAACACAUAACAUUUUUUAAAACUAUAAACUAUUUUGAAUUAGCUAUCCAAUCUUUCAAAAUUUUAUUUUUACUAUCUAAUCUUUUUACGUGUUAAAUUUGAGUGAGUAAAUAAUACAUUAACUUUAAAUUUAAAUAUGUCGUUUAGCUUAUAGAUUUAGUUAAUAUACUUCACGUAAUUUCCGCAACUAAAUUUAGUAAAAUAAAUUUUAACUUAAAUUCUAUCAAUCUUUUUUUUAUUAUUCAUUGUACAAUUUAUAUCUAAGUGAUCAAUAUUAUAAAAUUAAAAUUUAUAUUUAAUACAUAUAAUCUACACUAUUUAAAAAUUAUGUGUAAAAAAUUAUAUAGUUUAAAUUUUUAUGACAAAAGAGAGGAGAAUUAGAUUGAUUUUUUUAAAAAAAAUUAAU
rnacentral:lncRNA from 1 species